rnacentral:lncRNA from 1 species
AGAAACGCAGAAGAAAGGAGAGUGGCGAACAAGAAAAAACAGAACAACAAAGAAAGAGGGGCAAAAAAAAAAAGAAAAGAAACUGAGAGUAAAGGGAGAGAGGGAGGCAUCGACAAAAACAGAGAGAGAAGAACUUCAGCGGGAGUCUGGGGAAGAAAAAGGGAUGAGAGUGACGGUUGAAAAGGGCCGCGAGAGAGAAAAACAAAGAAAACAGAGGGAGGAGGUCGCGGAUGAAAAAGGGCUUCGGCCUUGAGAGAAAACAGAGGAAGGCUGAAGAAAGGCUACGGGGGAGUGAAAGAAAAACAAAGGGAGCGGCGGAUGGGCUGAACACGAACAGGAAAAAACAGGCAACCAUCGGAGAGGCUUGAGAAAGGAGGGCAAAAACAGAGCAACAAAAAGGGUCGGAAAAAAACUGGAAAUUGGGGAAGGGGGCUUCAGCGAACAAGAAAAAGAAAACAAUAAGAAAGAAAGGGAAACAAGCUGCGGAGAGGGUUGAGCUGAGAGUAAAGCCUGCAGCCAAAGAAGAAACGGAGCAACAGGAAAAGGAAAAAACCGGAGAAAAAGGAAGGCUAGCGGAAGAACAGAGCAAGGUAGGAGCAAAAUGAGAAAAAGCAAAGCAAUGGGCUUCGGGCGGCUUCGGGCUGAAACGGAUGAAGGAGAAAACAUGAUAAGAAUGGCAAAGGCAGUUGGCGGCUGACGGGCCAGAGGAGGAAAGAAAGCAAAAACGCAAGGGGAAAACAGAGGGGCUGUGAACAAGAAGAAAAUUGGCAAAGGAAAUCUGGGCAACAAUUGCAGCUUGCGGCUGGAAAGGACAACACAGAGCCGCCGCUGCUCAUGCUGCCACCACCGGAAUCCGCUGUCAUCUGCGAAUCUUCACCGUGGAAGACCACUGUAAGUCAUCCUUUGCCUGUACGUUCAAUCUUCCAGAGCAUGCUUGCCGUGAGUUGUUGUUUCAAUUUUCCUGUGGUUUGUUCAUGGGUUUUAGAAUACGCAUGCGUUAUGUACUUGAUUGGAUUGAAAUUAUAUUGAUUGUUUCUGAUUGUUCAUGCUGAAAAAUUUUGGGUCGAUCAUGGCUCCAAUUGAGCCGAGAAUCAAUGGUGUUUUUUAUGCACUUUUAGUGUUUGUUAAAAUGCCCGAACAAUGUGUUUGUAUGAAUUCGACAGGAAUUGACGCCGAUGCUUAUUUCCUCUGCUUUGUAAUUUAACUUCAGACUUUUAGAACUUCAUAAUUUGGCCCCAAAAUGUUCAUAAUUCUUUCAAUUAGAUCCUUGCUUUUGUUGUGUUGGAGCCCUUUAAUCUUUCCCCUUUAUUCUGAUAUGGCCCAAAAUUUGGAAAAAUUGAACUAAUUUUGCCCUUUUAAGUUUAAUUUUCUGUUUGCAUAUUUUAUGUGACUUUUUUUUUGAAUAGAUUAAUUCUGGGUUUUUAGGUCAUAAUUGCGGUUUAAUAAUUUUAGUUGGUUUUAUCAUGUUGGGUUGAAUGAAACAAAUGUUUUUGGAUCAAGAAUUAUGUUUGUUUGGGUCUAACAAAAUGGGUUUUGAUUACUUUUGAUUGGAUUUUGAUAUAUCUUAGAUAGCCAAAGCCCUUGCAUUAUUCGGAUUGGGCUGGAGUAAUUAAACGAUGGGCUGGUCUGAUGUGUUUUAAGGCUUUCGGUCUGGGCUUCAGAGGAAAAGCCCAGAUGUUUUGGUUGGACCAAUCGACAGGCCAGCCCAUCUGUUUUCUCGAUUUAUUUGAUGGGUUGAAGAUAAUUUUGGCCCAAACGAAUAAGGCCCAAUGGCCUGUUUGACUAAGAAAAUAAUUUUGCAAAUCAGUCCCUGAGUUUCUCUUUAACUAUACUGUGGCCCUGGACAUUUUCCACUUCUUUCAUUUCGGUCCUUACUUUAAUUGCAAAUAAGUCCUUGAACUUUAUUUUUCUUUAAUUUUGGCCCCAAAAUUUUGCCAAUCUUUGCAAUCAAGUCCUUUCUUCUCUUGACUUCUUAAAUGUGGGUUGUUGACAGGAUUUAAUUGAUUCAAAUUCAUGUUUAUUUUUAUCCUUUGUGAUUAUUUGUCAAAUAAAUUGGUGCCUUGACCCUUUUAUUGUUUUGAAGCCAUUUUUACUUCAUUUGAUUACCAUCGAAGGGGAGGUAUAAUUUCUUUUAUCUUUUUUGUGUCUUCUAUGUGAUCCAACGUGUUACGUGCGAAAUACAUGUCUACUUUGCUUUCCUAGCCUUUCUUUAAUUUCUUUUAUUUAUGUCAUUUACUUUUGCUUUUUAUUUAAGUUAGUUUUUAUGGGGUAUGUGAACACCUCUUGGCUUGUAAUAGAUAGGGCUUGGAGGAGCACUUGAUGAAGACCUUUUGAAGACAUGUGCCUAGCUAGCAAAUGUAAUAGUUAGGGCUUUAAUUGUCUUAUGUGUCUUGCAUGCUUAGUUGCUACGUGUUAAUUUGCUUUGUUAGGGCCUUGCAUCUAGUCGAGCAUGCUAAAUGUUAUGUGCUAUGUGUUUUUAAGUGUUUGGCAUGUCUACUCGCUUUCCAUAGCUAUGAAUGAAUGGAAUGGAUGAAUGUACGUUUCCACUAGUCCAACGCUAGUCGGAAUUCAUAGAAUGGGCUAGUCCAACGCUAGACCCUUAGGGAUUUCACCUCGUUAGCACAUAUUUGCAUGUUCAUUACAUGUCAUGCAUUCUUUUUAGUUUUAUCAUUUUGCAUGCCCCUCGAACCCCUUUUCCCUCCAUUUUAGGAUUUUUGCAUUUCAUGCUAGCUAUAGGGUUCAUUUGAUUGAGAGUCCCCUUAAAUAUGGGAUAUAGACGAGUGUGGCUUUUUCUAAGCCUUAGCACGCUUGUAUUCCCUCUAUAAAAGGGCAAAUUAAGUCACGAUUUAGGUCUCCCCGUACCCAAUAUGCAUGCAUUCCUAGGCUCAUGCAUUCUAAAUCCACUCUAUCAUUACACUUUCACUUUUUCUCCCAUUUGCACACGUACACCUUUUAUCCCUUCACUUGCACACUUUCACUUUUGUCUCAUUUGCACACAUGCACUUUUUAUCCCUUCACUUGCGCACGAACACUUUUCCUCCCAUUUGCACAUGUACACCUUUUUAUCCCUUCACUUGCACACAAACACUUGUAAAUACAUUUGCACACCUCCACUUACAUCCUAUUAUUUUUAUUAUUUUUCUCACUUCACAUAUCCUCACAUUGCAUACAUGCAUUCCAUUCAUUUGCAUCCCACUCGCAUUAUUCGUGACCUCUUCAAAGGGUCGUUAUUGGGCUUCACUAUUAAUGUGAUUGGCACCACUCAACCUUUGAAGAGAAAUUUCCCCCAAUACCCCUAGGUCUAGGGUUUGCAUUCAUGUAGUGCAUCCAAAUGUAAUAAAUUCUUUGGUUAAAACAAGAAAAUCUUUGAUUAAAUCAUGCAACUAGCCUUGGCUAGGUCGAAGGGGUGCCUUGGAUUUUUAUCCUUGCCUUCCCCUUCGUCAAAUGUGACUCCCGAACCUUUUUCUUUGGUUUACGUGGACUAGGAGUCGUUUAAAAGGGGUUUCUUAUUACUUUUUCCUAUUUUUCCUUUAAAAAAUUCAUUUUAGGUGACUUGGUACACCUUAACUCAUUACCAAGUGGCGACUCCAAUUUUGAUUUCAAAAACCCUUUUUAAACUAUAAUUUUGGGUCAAAUCGUCGCAUUCUCAGAACCCCAUUUAGACCCAUUUUUCUUUAAAUCACGAUUCAUCUUCCAAUCAAAAAACACAUUUUCAAACCAUUUAUUUUUCUUAUCAAAAAAUGGGGCGCGACAGUUGGCGACUCCACUGGGGACUUUCGAGAGUCCGAGCAAAUUUGAUUUAAUCAACCUUUUUCUUCUUUUAACCUUUUCAUAUAUCACAUUUGGAUGUUUUAGGGUUGCAUUUUUUCCUUUUUUAGGAUUUUGCAUUUCACGCGUGUCCAACUAAUCCCUCGACUCAUGAAUGUAUGUUUGAAUGAAUGUUUACUUGUUAUCUCGCGCUUGCAUUGCAUUUUGGGAGGUAUGGGUCACCCUAGAGCCUCGCGUUGGUUCUUGACCCCUCCCCUCCAAACGAGCACUAGCAUACGUGCAUACGCUUUAUUAUUCACCCUUCAUUUAUUUUUCUUUUAGUGGCUUGUCACGCCACUCCACCCUACUAGGAUUAGGCGACCCACUUGGACAUGUGAUCACGACACGAUGUGUGUGUAGCAUGGUCCAAUGGGUCACUCAAUCUUCCGCUUUAAACUAUGGGUUGAUAGCCUUUAGCUUUUAGUGGAAGGUUGAGGGUUUUGAUAGAUUCACUCAAACACGUAGCCGUGACACGAUGUGUGCGUAGCGGUGUUUGGGGAAUCGCUCGAGCCACCGACAAAAAACCUUGGGAUUGAUGACCCUUGGUUUCUAAGUCUGAAGGCUCGGGGACCUGAGCUUAUCGAUCUAGAUGCAUUAGCGAACCUUAACCUCAUGCAUCCAUUUUAGAAUUGCCUUAGGGUAGAGUCGGCCUUAUCCUGAGCUAGGGACACUAUUCACGAGGGGAGGGGUCCAACCCCUUUUUCCCUUUUAUUGCUUUGUAUUGAUUGUUUUAUCUUGUUGCUACAAUGUGUUAUGUGUAUUUCUCUGCCUGAACUAACCUUUCUUGGUUUUGUGUCCCCGUUGCAUUCACAAACCCUAGCAAAUAAGAGGUCUGGCAUGACCUUCUUUUAGAACCUACCCUUGUAGAUAGGCUAUUGCACGUUUAAGAAAUUUUGGUAUAUUUUGUUCAUGAAUUAAUAAUGCCAUGUCAUUUUAGGCCUACCCUGGCAUAUAAAGGGCUCCUUAGGUCACGUUUCCAUUUCAAAUUGCAUGUUUUAUCGCUUUAAUAAACUGGCAUCAUGCAUAAACCCUAGAAGGGAAUGCCAUUUAGGGGAUCCCGUGUUAGGGGAUAAGCCACCUUGUGUCUCGGAUACUUAAUCCAACGAGACUUGCACGUUUACAUUUCGUACCAUCCAAAGGGGUAGUGCACAAGGUAAGGUAGGAUCCGAUCAUUUUCAUAGAGUAAUCUUUGGAAUAUGAGCAUCUAAUAAUCACUUUUUGGCCAUUUUAUCAAAAAUUGGUAAAAAUCCCUUGCGUGAAGGACAUUAAUUUGAAGAAAUUCACAAAUGAUUCCUCCUUUUGAGACGAUAAAUAAAUUGAGGCCAAAAUUUGAUUUUUAGAAGGUCAUAGACUAAUGCACUUCAAUAAUUUUGAAAUAACCAAUGGCCGGACAAUUCAAUCAAUCCAUUUUGCCGAUUCAUUCAAUAAAUCAUCAAUUCAUUUGACCAAUUUACCCUUUUUAGGGUUAUUUGACCAAUUUACCCUUUUUAGGGUCACCUGGUCAAUUUUGAGUAAAUCAUCAAUUCAUUUGAUCAAUUUACCCUUUUUAGGGUCGUUCGGCCGAUUUUUGAAUAAAUCACUAAUUCAAUUUCAUUCAUUUGGCCAAUUUACCCAUUUUUAGGGCAACCGAGCCGAUUUUGAAUAAACCAAGUUUCGUUCAAUCUAUUUGAUCAAUUUACCCUUUUUAGGGUGAUCUGAUUAAUUUUGGAUAAAUUAAAUUUCUUUCAAUUCAUUUGACCUGUUUCCCUUUUUAGGGUAAUCCGAUCGAUUUUUAAUAAAUUGUCAAUUUCAUUUGACCAAUUAGGAUUUCAAUGUCGAAUUUCAAAAUGGAAAACCUAGUCGAUUUUGAGAAAAACAUCCAUGGCAUCCGGCCAUUUGAUCAGUUGGAGUUUUGACCCGUACUUCACUGUGAAAAUUUGUCAACGAAUUCCAAUCUCUCCGAUAGGAAGUUCGUCAAGGUCAAACCCGUACGUUUUUUGCAAAUUCUUGUAUCGAUCAAAAGUGAUCAAUCCCUUCGGACGAGGUCCUCAUUUUGACAAACGUCUCUUCUCAUUCCAAUGGGCCAAAUUUUUCAAAUUAUUUUUCACUCCAUAAGCUGAUUGGAUCCAUCAGGUAUUGUAUAGUGCCUGCUCUGGAGGAUUGCAUUUUCAUGCUAGGCCUACCCUUGGCAUAAAAGGGUUCCCCCCAUAGGACAUGCAUACCGAUUUUAUAUUCUUAUUUACUAACUCAGGGUAUUUUUCUUUUGUUUUCCCCCUCCCCUGCAUUCAUAAAAAAAAAUGCUUCAAUAAAGUGAAAAUAUUUUUCUAUACCUGAUGAUAAUUUGGAUCUAAUAAAGUGUCAAAAUUGCAAGUAUUGUAUGAUUCUUGGGCAGAUCCUACAAUGAAAACAUAAAAGAUCUAUCUGGAAGCUCUACGCUAAAGCAUCUGAGAGAUUUUGUAAUUAUUUCCAAAGGAAAAUUUUGUAUAUUUGAUUUGUUAAUACAUUUUGUUCCAAAAAGAAAAGGAGACAAAAGGUGUAUAUGUGGAGCUCUUUACGAGUUUCUCUCUUCUCAUUUGUAUCAUAAUUGAACGGGAAAUUUUGUUUCAAAUUGUUUUUCAGCAAUAAAAAUUUUGGAUAAUCAUUGUUUUGUGUAUAUUUAUGUACAUUUCAUUCUUUAUUCUUAUUCAUUGGAGAUUUCAUGAUGAAUUUUAAGAAAUAAGACUAAAUUGAGAUUUGUUUUCAACCUCCAGCCCGAAAAUUCACAAGUAUAUGCUUCCUAAAAUCCUUACACUCGAUUGGUGAUCCGAGUCAUACAAUAAGAGUGCUCAGAAAAAGGUGAAUGGUCACUCCAAAGGCCUCAUGAGAUACAUUUUCUCCUUCAUUUGACCCCAACAAAAAUAAUAAUAAAAUCAGUCACAUUGAUUGAUAAAUCAUAAAUUGGGGCAAUCUUUGCUUGAAAAAUAUCCAUUGUGUUUAACCGAUUCAGUUCACAUCUUAGUGAAAGCAAAAAUGUGUAUUAUUCUUGUUUGUUUUAAAAACUUGGAAUGAUACAUCGAGCAUUCUUCUUUCUACCUAUACACAUUUUAUCAUUUGCUCUCCCAUUUAAGCUUUUGAAAGAAUAAUUUCGUUUCAAAUACGAGCCCUAAUGAUCACUACCCUAUAUUGGAAAAUUUUCAAAUAUCCAAGAAGGGGAAUGGAUUUUCAAUGACCAUCUGGUUACUUUGGUUGUCAUGAAGUGUGAGAAUGAUACUUUGGCCGUCGUUUCCACAACCUAAACACUGAUCAUCCCUUGCAUCCUCAUUUGAGCUAAAAAUUGGUGAUUCUUUUCGAGUGCACAUAUGAUCGCACCCCCACAUUGGGGAAGAAGAUUGGGAAAUUUUGAGAAAGAAGAAAAAAAAGAAAAAGGGAAAAGCAAAAAUGCUAGAAUAAGGAGGGAACCGCAAAUUGGGGAAAUUUGGUUCCACUUGGGUUCCAAUUUUGAAAAGAGAGAAAGAGGAAAGAAAAAGGAAGAGAUUUGUCUGCACGGACCGCCUAUGUUUUCACAGAUAUAGAUGAACGAGGGUCUUCCUCAGUCAGUUAAUUCAGGUACAUGCCAGAAAUUUUGCGUUAAUGAAAGUUUCCUUUCAGAGUUAUUGUAAGGAUCAGAAUAAAAGUCAGGCCCUCUUCUUUUCCAAUCAAGCAUUCUAUCCCUAGUUAUCCCUUUUGAGCCUUCAGAAUAAAAUACUUGGUUUGGCAACCCCUGAGAAUCGCAAACCCCACACUGGGGCAAGUUGGAGUUGAAAAGGAAAAUUUCAAGAAGUGAAAAAGUGACAAUGCCGCAAAAUCAAAAGAAAAGAAAAAAGAGAACCUCAGUACAAAAGUAAACUGGGGCAAAUUUUGUGAAAGUUCAAAAGAAUGGCAAAAAGCCGAAAAAUCAAAAGAAGAAAGAAAAUGAAAGAAAAAAGCCUCAAUUGAGCAUAAACUGGGGCAAAUUCUGAUUUAACCCUAAAAUAGGGUUGGUGUAACAAUGCGAUCUCAGAUUACUUAAACCAUUCUUGAAAUCUGCUUUCAAGCCUUAACUCUUCUAAACACCCCACCUGACCCCAUUACAAAAGCCGAAAGUCCUGACUUCUGUUCUUUGCAAUGGCCCUGUCAAGAAAAUUUCUGAUGUCGGAAAAUUUUAGCUGUAUUUCUGAAUUGCUUGGGUAUGGGGUUGACGCUACUCACCAAGUGAAAACCCACCAAAUUGGGGAAAGGAAAAGAGGCAAAAAGCAAAGCAAGAAAAGUAAAUGCAAGAAGAUGCAGAAAAAUUCGACGCUGAAGUCCCUGGGGAAUGAUGAGAAAAUCCAAACAAAGUCUGAAAUCUUUUGAGUUCAAAAUAGGGGCAAUUUUGGAAAAAUGCGAUUUUUGGUGCGAUAUCCUUGAAAGAUUUAUUCUUUAGCUAUCGUUUUCAAGCCAAAUUACAAGCUAAUAAAGUCCAUCGUUGACUUAUUCCUUCAUGACAAUCCAAAGUGAGAAUCAUGCUCAUAAGAAAUUCAUCAGAUCAUUUGUGAUCAUAAGGGUAUAACCCGUUUCCACAUGUUUAGCUAUCACUUCUGUCCAUACGUUACAAGCCUAGAAAGCUUGUAUGUUGACUAAGUUUUCUUAAAAAUAAGAGUGACAAACUCUUUGCUUUCACUAAGAUGUGAUGUUGAAUGCAUUACAAUUUUGGGCACAAGAACCAGACAAAUUCUAACCUCCUAUUUCCUUAGCCAUUUCAAAAAAAUAAUAAAGUCACUUGAUUGGUCCUAAAAGAUGAACUAACCAGAAAUGGUGGCCCAUCACCCAAAGCAUUGAUGCUAAAGUGGGGAAGAAAUCUUUCGUAAUUUGGCAUUAUUUUGAGAAAUUUAUCAUGAAAUGUGCUAUAUGAGUUAAGCAAGACAGUCAAUUUUCUUCACAUGAUAUGUUAGGAAAAGCAAUUGCUUACUUUGUUCAAAUAAAUGGAGGGUCAUCCAAACAAAUUUUUUGCAAUUAAAUAGCCCUACACUGGGGCAAAUUUUCAUGAAAAAUUUUGCAAAAUAGCCCACACUGGGGCAAAAUUUUUGUAAUACAUUUGAGGAUGUCAAAUCAAUCACGCUGUUCUUUCCAAAUAAGAAAUUUGAAUGUAUGUCAUACUUUGAUGACCCCCUUGUAUAGGUAUUCAUGGUUCAAAAUGACGAAAAGCAUCCAGUGAGGCGGAAGGCCGAUACUGCAAAGAGAAGCAAGAAGAAGGAGGGAAAAAUGGACUCGACGCUGGGGCAAAUUAUUUUUGAAAAAUUCUCUCAAAAACAAAAAACAAAAAAAAAAAAAAAAAAAAAAAAAAAAAAAAUCAGGUUCAAAUUCUUGUUUCUUGAAAAAUCAAAUUUGAUUUCUUAUGGGCGAAGCUUCAAUGCACGCCGCGCAUCAUUCUGUUCCCCCCUUCUCUUAACAUCUCAAAAAUCUCGUUGGGCCUGGAUUUCUUGCCGCCAACUUCACAAAAAUCCUAUUGGGCCUGGACUCGGUGCCGCCAACAUCUCAAAAAUUUCAUUGGGCAGGCUCGGGUUAAUCCCACUGACCAAUUCAUAACUGGGGCAAAUUAUUUCCACAAGUCUCUCUCAAUCAAAAAAUCAAAAAAUCAGAAAAAGAAAGAAGAAAAAAUCAGAAAAAGAAAGAAAAAAAAAGAAAAAAAGAAAACAAAAACAAAAAAAAAAAAAAAAAGAAAAAAAAUCAGAAAAAAAAAUCAAAUUCAAAUUCCUAUUUCUUGAAAAUCCAUUUUUCAUUUCUUAUUGGCAAAGCUUAGCGUCCGCCGCGCACCCUUAUACCUCUUUUCUUGACAACCACAUUUUAAUUUACUGACUUCAACCGCCGUUAGCAUCGAGUUUAUCUCACUAACGUGCGUGUUUCAUUUCAACCGCCGUUAGCAUCGAGUCUAUCUCACUAACGUGCGUGUUUCAUUUCAACCGCCGUUAGCAUCGAGUUUAUCUCACUAACGUGCGUGUUUUCAUUUCUACCGCCGUUAGCAUCGAGUCUAUCUCACUAACGUGCGUGUUUCAUUUCUACCGCCGUUAGCAUCGAGUUUAUCUCACUAACGUGCGUGUUUCAUUUCAACCGCCGUUAGCAUCGAGUUUAUCUCACUAACGUGCGUGUUUCAUUUCUACCGCCGUUAGCAUCGAUUUAUCUCACUAACGUGCGUGUUUCAUUUCAACGCCGUUAGCAUCGAGUUUAUCUCACUAACGUGCGUUUUUCAUUUCAACCGCCGUUAGCAUCGAGUUUAUCUCACUAAUGUGCGUGUUUUCAUCCCACAACACUCCAUCUCACUUCAAUUCAUCUAAUUUUAAAUUUCUGUCCGGGUCUAUCCCAUUUAAAUUUUUGUCUGGGUCUAUCCCAUUUAAAUUUCUGUUCGGUCUAUCCCGUGGGUCUAUCCCAUUUAAAUUUCUGUCCGGGUCUAUCCCGUGGGUCUAUCCCAUUUAAUUUUUGUCUGGGUCUAUCCCAUUUAAAUUUCUGUUCGGUCUAUCCCGUGGGUCUAUCCAUUUAAAUUUCUGUCCGGGUCUAUCCCGUGGGUCUAUCCCAUUUAAAAAUCUGUCCGGGUCUAUCCCGUUAAAUUUCCUGUCUCGGGUCAGUCCGAUUUUAAAAUUUUCUCAUUUGGGUCAAUCCCAUUUAAAAAAAAAAAAAAAAAAAAUUUCAGUCCUCGUUUCAAAAGCGUCCGUCGUCCGGAUCGUUCGCAGCCGAAUAACACAGGUAAGUAUUUGGUGUCUACUCUUUGUCUCAAGUUUUUUCAAAACUCAGACAAAGAGGGGCAAACUGUAGACACCAAAUUUUUUGAUUUUUUAAAUUAAUUUCAUCUUAGCUUUAUUUGUUUCAAUUUUAGGUUUUUCAUUUCUUAUUAUUAUUAUUUAUUAUUAUUAUUAUUUUAUUAUUAUUAUUAUUAUUAUUAUUUAUUAUUAUUAUUAAUAUUAUUAUUUUAUUUUAUUUUUAUUAUUGUUAUUUAUUUUAUUUUGUUCUAGUGUAUUUUUGGCUUCACAUUAAUUUCCAGGAAAAACAAAAGAAAAAGAGAAAAGGAAAAAGAAAGAAAAGUGAAAAUGACAAGUGUGACAGCAUGCACUUGGACAAGUGUCUUUUCUAUGUUUUAGACAACUAAGCACCUAAGGGGUGAGGUGUUAGGGACAUUUGAAAGUUAAGGAAUUUUGGGGGUCAAAGUAGAAUUUUGUGAGGGCUAAAAACUAAAAAAAAAGAGAAAGCAAAACCAAAAAAAAACAGAAAAGGAGGAGGUCGGCCAAAAAACAAGGGUGGGGCUGAGAGCAAAAAGGAGAGGAAAAAACAGAGAAAAAAAAAAAGAAGAAGGCGGCGGAUGGAAAAACGGAAGGCUUCGGCUUCAGUGGCGGCGGAGCUUGAGAAACGCAGAAGAAAGGAGAGUGGCGAACAAGAAAAAAAACAGAACAACAAAGAAAGAGGGGCAAAAAAAAGGAAAAGAAACUGAGAGUAAAGGGAGAGAGGGAGGCAUCGACAAAAACAGAGAGAGAAGAACUUCAGCGGAGUCUGGGGCAAGAAAAAGGGAUGAGAGUGACGGUUGAAAAGGGCCGCGAGAGAGAAAAAAAAAAGAAAACAGAGGAGGAGGUUGCGGAUGAAAAAGGGCUUCGGCCUUGAGAGAAAACAGAGGAAGGUUGAAGAAAGGCUACGGCGGGAUGAAAGAAAAACAAAAGGGAGCGCGGAUGGGCUGAACACGAACAGGAAAAAAACAGGCAACCAUCGGAGAGGCUUGAGAAAGGAGGGCAAAAACAGAGCAACAAAAAUGGUCGGAAAAAAACUGGAAAUUGGGGAAGGGGACUUCAGCGAACAAGAAAAGAAAACAAUAAGAAAAAAGGGAAACAAGCUGCGGAGAGGGUUGAGCUGAGAGUAAAGCCUGCAGCCAAAGAAGAAACGGAGCAACAGGAAAAGGAAAAAACCGGAGAAAAAGGAAGGCUAGCGGAAGAACAGAAGCAAGGUAGGAGCAAAAUGAGAAAAAGCAAAGCAAUGGGCUUCGGGCGGCUUCGGGCUGAAACGGAUGAAGGAGAAAACAUGAUAAGAAUGGCAAAGGCAGUUGGCGGCUGACGGGCCAGAGGAGGAAAGAAAGCAAAACGCAAGGGGAAAACAGAGGGCUGUGAACAAGAAGAAAAUUGGCAAAGGAAAUCUGGGCAACAAUUGCAGCUUGCGGCUAGAAAGGACAACACAGAGCCGCCGCUGCUCAUGCUGCACCACCGGAAUCCGCUGUCAUUUGCGAAUCUUCACCGUGGAAGACCACUGUAAGUCAUCCUUUGCCUGUACGUUCAAUCUUCCAGAGCAUGCUUGCCGUGAGUUGUUGUUUCAAUUUUCCUGUGGUUUGUUCAUGGGUUUUAGAAUACGCAUGCGUUAUGUACUUGAUUGGAUUGAAAUUAUAUUGAUUGUUUCUGAUUGUUCGUGCUGAAAAAUUUUGGGUCGAUCAUGGCUCCAAUUGAGCCGAGAAUCAAUGGUGUUUUUUAUGCACUUUUAGUGUUUGUUAAAAUGCCCGAACAAUGUGUUUGUAUGAAUUCGACAGGAAUUGACGCCGAUGCUUAUUUCCUCUGCUUUGUAAUUUAACUUCAGACUUUUAGAACUUCAUAAUUUGGCCCCAAAAUGUUCAUAAUUCUUUCAAUUAGAUCCUUGCUUUUGUUGUGUUGGAGCCCUUUAAUCUUUCCCCUUUAUUCUGAUAUGGCCCAAAAUUUGGAAAAAUUGAACUAAUUUUGCCCUUUUAAGUUUAAUUUUCUGUUUGCAUAUUUUAUGUGACUUUUUUUUUGAAUAGAUUAAUUCUGGGUUUUUAGGUCAUAAUUGCGGUUUAAUAAUUUUAGUUGGUUUUAUCAUGUUGGGUUGAAUGAAACAAAUGUUUUUGGAUCAAGAAUUAUGUUUGUUUGGGUCUAACAAAAUGGGUUUUGAUUACUUUUGAUUGGAUUUUGAUAUAUCUUAGAUAGCCAAAGCCCUUGCAUUAUUCGGAUUGGGCUGGAGUAAUUAAACGAUGGGCUGGUCUGAUGUGUUUUAAGGCUUUCGGUCUGGGCUUCAGAGGAAAAGCCCAGAUGUUUUGGUUGGACCAAUCGACAGGCCAGCCCAUCUGUUUUCUCGGAUUUAUUUGAUGGGUUGAAGAUAAUUUUGGCCCAAACGAAUAAGGCCCAAUGGCCUGUUUGACUAAGAAAUAAUUUUGCAAAUCAGUCCCUGAGUUUCUCUUUAACUAUACUGUGGCCCUGGACAUUUUCCACUUCUUUCAUUUCGGUCCUUACUUUAAUUGCAAAUAAGUCCUUGAACUUUAUUUUUCUUUAAUUUUGGCCCCAAAACUUUGCCAAUCUUUGCAAUCAAUCCUUUCUUCUCUUGACUUCUUAAAUGUGGUUGUUGACAGGAUUUAAUUGAUUCAAAUUCAUGUUUAUUUUUAUCCUUUGUGAUUAUUUGUCAAAUAAAUUGGUGCCUUGACCCUUUUAUUGUUUUGAAGCCAUUUUUACUUCAUUUGAUUACCAUCGAAGGGGAGGUAUAAUUUCUUUUAUCUUUUUUGUGUCUUCUAUGUGAUCCAACGUGUUACGUGCGAAAUACAUGUCUACUUUGCUUUCCUAGCCUUUCUUUAAUUUCUUUUAUUUAUGUCAUUUACUUUUGCUUUUUAUUUAAGUUAGUUUUUAUGGGUAUGUGAACACCUCUUGGCUUGUAAUAGAUAGGGCUUGGAGGAGCAUGUGAGGCCCCAGUUCGUACUACGUUGAUAUAUUCAUUAAUUUGGCGGUAACGUUUGGUUUUGGGAGUAUUUCGAAAACCCUAAGUAGGAAUUAAGAUUUAAACCCUAAGUUCCGGUUAAGAUUGAAAACCCGUUUUUUUCCUACAUUUUCUUUAUUAGAAAAUUCCCCAGAUAAUUUUUAUGAGUAAAUAUAGUUUUUAGAUGAUUUUUCUAGUAUUAGUUAGUUUUUGAGAAAUUAAGAACGUAUAUCGGACGUGGGACCCACUAGUGUGAAAAGUUCGGAAAAAUUCGGCCAAUUAGGUUAAAUUCCGGAUACUGUGUAAAAUUUAUCGGGUGUUAAGAGAUAAGUAGAGAGUGAGAAGUGAUUGAUGUGAGAGGGAAAAAGAAAGAUAAGAAUGCAUUAAUGAGUGUGACAAGUGUCACAAUAUGAUUGGUUGGACUUUAUGGUUUACUAUUCACAUUUUUGACUUUUGACCAAAAUUAGUUAAUAUCUCCAAAAAUUCACAAAAAAAUCACCAUUUUUCACCUCUUGAUGGCCGAACCUCUCAAGCUCAAGAAGAAAGAAAUUCUUCAACUUUCAAGCUUCCAUUUCACUCAAUCUUCCAAAACCAACCACAUAACUUAGAUUCUACUCCAUAAAAUCUAUCCUUUGGGUGCUUGUGAGUGUCUAUUGAAGUUUGUUUGAAGACUUAAGGUGUCCAACAUCUUCCUCUCUCUUGGUUACUUGGUAAGUGGUAUGAACGCCCUCCUAUAUCUAAUGAUGUUGAAUUUAUGCCUAAUGGUGGCUAUUGUGUUAGAAAUUGUGGUUUAUUUCAUGGUUUGGAAUGAUUGGUUGAGUUUUUAUUUUAUUUUUUUGGAAUUUUCUGGUUUCAUAUGAUCUUGAUGGUGUGGUUGUUUUUGAUGGUUGGUAAUAAGGGGUUUUGGCUCUAGUAGGUGCAUUUGAUAGGAAAUUGCAAUCAAUUUUGAAUUUGGAAGAAUUUCUGGAAAAUUAGGGUUCUUGGUUGAACAUUCUGUCCGAAAUUUUGGGUCAUAGAUAGAGGCCGAAUUUGACUUUGCUCAAAACAUGAAAGUUGUAGGUAUUGAUGUUUGAGUGCCUGUAAAAUUUCAGGUCAUUUGGUUUAGUGUAGAAUGAGAUAUGACGAAAUUACUGUAGCUGUUCUGCUUUGGACAGAAUGCGAAAACUGUACUGGUAAUUGGCCAUUUUGACUGGAAUUGGUUUGGAUUUUGAAGUUGGUGUCUUCUGAUGAAAUGUAGCUAGAUGUCUUAGCUAACAUAUGCCUUUGGAAUUUCGGCAUUUGGACUUGUAUGGACUGAGAUAUACCGAUUACAGUUUUCUGUGUUUUGCAAACCUGUUUUGGUAAUUCUGGUUUCGUAUUUUGCAUAUUUGACCUAGUUGUGCUAGGAUUUGGACUGAGUGGCCUUCUACAUUGUUGUACCCCUGUUUCUUAGCUUCGAAACGGUGGGUCUUACACCCCCAUCCGAUAACCGUAGUGAAUUUGGUGCCAUUACCGCAUAUUGAGGUCAAAUACGGUUUGUGAUUCUGGUACGUUUUUGGAAAGUUUAUGGCUGGAACUUUGACUUCACAUUUGACUGAGUUACAAGCUGUUUGGGCUUCCGACCAAAACACCAAACUUAUAACCCUAUAUCAGAGCUUUCUAACGCCCUUGGAAUUUCAUGAAUCGGAUUUAUAAAACCUGAGAUAUAGCCGAGCAAACAAGGCCUGCCCGUGAAAAUGACCAGAAAUCUGUUUUGGUCCUGAUGACCAAUUUCCGUUCCGAAUUUGGAUUGCCGACCUUCAUGAAAGUUGUUCCAUUUGGAAUGAACUAUCUAACUGCCAAUUUUCAGCUCUUUUGACCAUGUGUAGCAUAGAAAACAGUUAGCACUCAAAACUGACCAUUUGUGCAUUGGCCAGAUUUCGUAAGUGAUUGUGUUUGGUUCAUUUGGGACUAAAGCCUCUAGUUUCAGUUCUGGAUGUCUUCAUAACAGUUGUUGUUCAUCCUUUAAGCUUCGAUAUGGCGUCUCAUACGCCUUAAUCCAAUAUUCGUAGCUCAACUUAUGAGUAAACUAGAAACGAGUGUCAAAUCUGCCGUUUCGUUUCCGUCUGUCAUAUUUACGUGCGCGCGUGUUGUUUGCCGUUUUGCUUGUUUUGGGCAUGUUAGUGGCGUUUGUGAUAAAAUCUUCUAUUUCAGACAGCGGUGAGCUAGGCGGAGCCGGUGGGGCCACUACUAGCGAACGCGCGAAGCGAUUUGCUUUCGUACUACUUUUGGUAUUUUGAGUAAGUAUUCAGGCCGGUUUGGUGUGUUUUCUUUGCUAUGUGUUUGAGAUAUGUGAAAAGGGCACUUAGGCGAGGGUGUACUUUAUCGCACUCGACCUAAACCCUAAUUUGAAUGUAUAAUUGUACUUGGCAUAUGUAUAUGAACCUUUUGGAACCAAAACCCUUGAGCUUGUGGCUCGGGGCGACUUUCGAAUAAAGUUUGUGAAGUUUGCAAAGUUUGUGAUUUUGAAUAAUUUUGUGAAGUUUGUGAGUUUGGGGGAACUCUUGACCUGGUUGGACUAUUCGAGCCGGUUAGGGCUUUGGUCGAAGGCAGUCCAACUUAGUCUGAGGUCACCAAGUUUGUAGGUUCAUGUUAUGAACCAAUUUUGUGAAUCCGGUUCACCGAGAAGGUGACCAAGUUUGUGACCGAGCUUGUGACUCAAGCUCAAGUUUGUGAUUUCGUUCGCCCGGGCAAGUUGUGAGGUGACUGGCCAGUGAGGGUGAUAAGGUGUCGGUGGGUGUACAAGUGAAGUUCUACGGACUAUUAUUUGCAGUCGACGGAGUGUCGGCAGGAGAUCACGCAUGGCACAUGAGUUGGCUUUGGAGCCACCUGUAUCCUUAUUAUGUGAUGUUACUUUUCUGCUUUUGCUUUACUCUUAUUGUGUAACUGUUACGUGAAAUUUAUGCUUUCGCCCUGUUUACUUACUAAGCAUAUAGCUUACCCCAUUCCUUUUGUUUUCCUUAAAGGGGCCGACGCGGGGACUUUUGGCUCGUAUACUAGUAUAGUUAGAUUGGCUUGUAAUAGUUGAACAGUUAGGAUGUUUGUUUUUGUUUUGGUGGUUUGACUCGAUACUUUUGAGAAUGUAAUUAUAACUCUUUGGGUUGUAUAUAUUGUAUUUAGUGCUCUUUCGAACUUUAAGUUUUGAGUCCUGGCGCGAGCUAGGCAGGCGGCCCGCCGAUACCCUUGGGUUCGCCCUUGGGAGAAGUGGGGUCGUCACAGUUGGUAUCAGAGCUUAGGCUUUCGAUCUCUGUAGUGUAUCCUAGGCUUGAAGUUUAGGAUGCCGGACUGUGGGAUACUUGGCUAUUAAGGUAAAUAUUGAAUGCUAAGAUUUUGAUAUUGACUUUUGUAAUUUUCCAUAAGGCAAAGUGGGGAUUGAGUUGAUUGCACUUGGAGAUGGCCAGUCCCAGUGUGAAUCGAUUUGGUUCUUACUUAAUAUUGAAGUUAGCUAUUUGGACCUAUUCUUUAGGUUUGCACCUAGGGGCCGGGUGCUGUGGAUUAGGUAGGUUCCGUAGGGGAGGCGUGUAGGACCGUUGAUGGAAUUUCCUUUUGACUAUCUGAUAUGUUUAAUUUGUUAUAUCUGCCAUGUUUAUUUUGUUAUAACCAGUAUGCCUGGCUUCUUUUGUUACCCAGUGAUUGACUACAUUUUUGGAGCCGUAGUGCUCACGUAAAUAAUGGAUUUUGCACCGACCGGAUGUCGGAUAACUUGUAUAUUUUUAGUGUGACUUUGUAAAAAUAUGUAUAUUUGAGUAUAAUCUUUUGAGCUUAUUUGUUUGAACCCGGCUUUUGAAUUUAUUCGUACUUGUGUGGUUGUAGACCGGCUACUACUCGAGUGGUUGAACUUUUGAGGCAUUGCCUGUUGUGUACUUGACUGCUUUUGAGGAUUAUUUGAUCUGAUUAGUGCAAGUUGGAAUUUCGAGGACGAAAUUCUUUUAAGGAGGGGAGAUUGUGAGGCCCCAGUUCGUACUACGUUGAUAUAUUCAUUAAUUUGGCGGUAACGUUUGGUUUUGGGAGUAUUUCGAAAACCCUAAGUAGGAAUUAAGAUUUAAACCCUAAGUUCCGGUUAAGAUUGAAAACCCGUUUUUUCUACAUUUUCUUUAUUAGAAAAUUCCCCAGAUAAUUUUUAUGAGUAAAUAUAGUUUUUAGAUGAUUUUUCUAGUAUUAGUUAGUUUUUGAGAAAUUAAGAACGUAUAUCGGACGUGGGACCACUAGUGCGAAAAGUUCGGAAAAAUUCGGCCAAUUAGGUUAAAUUCCGGAUACUGUGUAAAAUUUAUCGGGUGUUAAGAGAUAAGUAGAGAGUGAGAAUGAUUGAUGUGAGAGGGAGAAAAGAAAGAUAAGAAUGCAUUAAUGAGUGUGACAAGUGUCACAUAUGAUUGGUUGGACUUUAUGGUUACUAUUCACUUUUUGACUUUUGACAAAUUAGUUAAUAUCUCAAAAAUUCACAAAAAACAUUUUUCACCUUGAUGGCCGAACUCUCAAGCUCAAGAAGAAGAAAUUCUUCAACUUUCAAGCUUCCAUUUCACUCAAUCUUCCAAAACCAACCAAUAACUUAGAUUCUACUCCAUAAAAUCUAUCCUUUGGUGCUUGUGAGUGGUCUAUUGAAGUUUGUUUGAAGACUUAAGGUGUCCAACAUUCCUCUCUCUUGUUACUUGGUAAGUGGUAUAUGAACCCUCCUAUAUCUAAUGAUGUUGAAUUUAUGCUAAUGGUGGUUUGUGUUAGAAAUUGUGGUUUAUUUCAUGGUUUGAAUGAUUGGUUGAGUUUUUAUUUUAUUUUUUGGAAUUUUCUGGUUUCAUAUGAUUUGAUGUGUGGUUGUUUUUGAUGGUUGGUAAUAAGGGGUUUGGCUCUAGUAGGUGCAUUUGAUAGAAAUUGCAAUCAAUUUUGAAUUUGGAAGAAUUUCUGGAAAAUUAGGGUUCUUGGUUGAACAUUCUGUCCGAAAUUUUGGUCAUAGAUAGAGGCCGAAUUUGACUUUGCUCAAAACAUGAAAGUUGUAGGUAUUGAUGUGUUUGAGGUGCUAAAAUUUCAGGUCAUUUGGUUUAGUGUAGAAUGAGAUAUGACGAAAUUACUGUAGCUGUUCUGCUUUGGACAGAAUGCGAAAACUGUACUGGUAAUUGCCAUUUUGACUGGAAUUGGUUUGGAUUUUGAAGUUGGUGUCUUCUGAUGAAAUGUAGCUGAUGUUUAGCUAACAUAUGCCUUUGGAAUUUCGGCAUUUGGACUUGUAUGGACUGAGAUAUACCGAUUACAGUUUUUGUGUUUUGCAAACCUGUUUUGGUAAUUCUGGUUUCGUAUUUUGCAUAUUUGACCUAGUUGUGCUAGGAUUUGGACUGAGUGGCCUUCUACAUUGUUGUACCCCUGUUUCUUAGCUUCGAAACGGUGGGUCUUACACCCCCAUCCGAUAACCGUAGUGAAUUUGGUGCCAUUACCGCAUAUUGAGGUCAAAUACGGUUUGUGAUUCUGGUACGUUUUUGGAAAGUUUAUGGCUGGAACUUUGACUUCACAUUUGACUGAGUUACAAGCUGUUUGGGCUUCCGACCAAAACACCAACUUAUAACCCUAUAUCAGAGCUUUCUAACGCCCUUGGAAUUUCAUGAAUCGGAUUUAUAAAACCUGAGAUAUAGCCGAGCAAACAAGGCCUGCCCGUGAAAAUGACCAGAAAUCUGUUUUGGUCCUGAUGACCAAUUUCCGUUCCGAAUUUGGAUUGCCGACCUUCAUGAAAGUUGUUCCAUUUGGAAUGAACUAUCUAACUGCCAAUUUUCAGCUCUUUUGACCAUGUGUAGCAUAGAAAACAGUUAGCACUCAAAACUGACCAUUUGUGCAUUGGCCAGAUUUCGUAAGUGAUUGUGUUUGGUUCAUUUGGGACUAAAGCCUCUAGUUUCAGUUCUGGAUGUCUUCAUAACAGUUGUUGUUCAUCCUUUAAGCUUCGAUAUGGCGUCUCAUACGCCUUAAUCCAAUAUUCGUAGCUCAACUUAUGAGUAAACUAGAAACGAGUGUCAAAUCUGCCGUUUCCGUUUCCGUCUGUCAUAUUUACGUGCGCGCGUGUUGUUUUGCCGUUUUGCUUGUUUUGGGCAUGUUAGUGGCCGUUUGUGAUAAAAUCUUCUAUUUCAGACAGCGGUGAGCUAGGCGGAGCCGGUGGGGCCCACUACUAGCGAACGCGCGAAGCGAUUUUGCUUUCGUACUACUUUUGGUAUUUUGAGUAAGUAUUCAGGCCGGUUUGGUGUGUUUUCUUUGCUAUGUGUUUGAGAUAUGUGAAAAGGGCACUUAGGCGAGGGUGUACUUUAUCGCACUCGACCUAAACCCUAAUUUGAAUGUAUAAUUGUACUUGGCAAUGUAUAUGAACCUUUUGGAACCAAAACCCUUGAGCUUGUGGCUCGGGGCGACUUUCGAAUAAAGUUUGUGAAGUUUGCAAAGUUUGUGAUUUUGAAUAAUUUUGUGAAGUUUGUGAGUUUGGGGCGAACUCUUGACCUGGUUGGACUAUUCGAGCCGGUUAGGGUUGGUCGAAGGCAGUCCAACUUAGUCUGAGGUCACCAAGUUUGUAGGUUCAUGUUAUGAACCAAUUUUGUGAAUCCGGUUCACCGAGAAGGUGACCAAGUUUGUGACCCGAGCUUGUGACUCAAGCUCAAGUUUGUGAUUUCGUUCGCCCGGGCAAGUUUGUGAGGUGACUGGCCAGUGAGGGUGAUAAGGUGUCGGUGGGUGUACAAGUGAAGUUCUACGGACUAUUAUUUGCAGUCGACGGAGUGUCGGCAGGAGAUCACGCAUGGCACAUGAGUUGGCUUUGGAGCCACCUGUAUCCUUAUUAUGUGAUGUUACUUUUCUGCUUUUGCUUUACUCUUAUUGUGUAACUGUUACGUGAAAUUUAUGCUUUCGCCCCUGUUUACUUACUAAGCAUAUAGCUUACCCCAUUCCUUUUGUUUUCCUGCAGGGGCCGACGCGGGGACUUUUGGCUCGUAUACUAGUAUAGUUAGAUUGGCUUGUAAUAGUUGAACAGUUAGGAUGUUUGUUUUUGUUUUGGUGGUUUGACUCGAUACUUUUGGAGAAUGUAAUUAUAACUCUUUUGGGGUUGUAUAUAUUGUAUUUAGUGCUCUUUCGAACUUUAAGUUUUGAGUCCUGGCGCGAGCUAGGCAGGCGGCCCGCCGAUACCCUUGGGUUCGCCCUUGGGAGAAGUGGGGUCGUCACAGUUGGUAUCAGAGCUUAGGCUUUCGAUCUCUGUAGUGUAUCCUAGGCUUGAAGUUUAGGAUGCCGGACUGUGGGAUACUUGGCUAUUAAGGUAAAUAUUGAAUGCUAAGAUUUUGAUAUUGACUUUUGUAAUUUUCCAUAAGGCAAAGUGGGGAUUGAGUUGAUUGCACUUGGAGAUGGCCAGUCCCAGUGUGAAUCGAUUUGGUUCUUACUUAAUAUUGAAGUUAGCUAUUUGGACCUAUUCUUUAGGUUUGCACCCUAGGGCCGCCGGGGCGGUGCUGGUGGAUUAGGUAGGUUCCGUAGGGGAGGCGUGUAGGACCGUUGAUGGAAUUUCCUUUUGACUAUCUGAUAUGUUUAAUUUGUUAUAUCUGCCAUGUUUAUUUUGUUAUAACCAAUAUGCCUGGCUUCUUUUGUUACCCAGUGAUUGACUACAUUUUUGGAGCCGUAGUGCUCACGUAAAUAAUGGAUUUUGCACCGACCGGAUGUCGGAUAACUUGUAUAUUUUUAGUGUGACUUUGUAAAAAUAUGUAUAUUUGAGUAUAAUCUUUUGAGCUUAUUUGUUUGAACCCGGCUUUUGAAUUAUUCGUACUUGUGUGGUUGUAGACCGGCUACUACUCGAGUGGUUGAACUUUUGAGGCAUUGCCUGUUGUGUACUUGACUGCUUUUGAGGAUUAUUUGAUCUGAUUAGUGCAAGUUGGAAUUUCGAGGACGAAAUUCUUUUAAGGAGGGGAGAUUGUGAGGCCCCAGUUCGUACUACGUUGAUAUAUUCAUUAAUUUGGCGGUAACGUUUGGUUUUGGGAGUAUUUCGAAAACCCUAAGUAGGAAUUAAGAUUUAAACCCUAAGUUCCGGUUAAGAUUGAAAACCCGUUUUUUUCUACAUUUUCUUUAUUAGAAAAUUCCCCAGAUAAUUUUUAUGAGUAAAUAUAGUUUUUAGAUGAUUUUUCUAGUAUUAGUUAGUUUUUGAGAAAUUAAGAACGUAUAUCGGACGUGGGACCCACUAGUGCGAAAAGUUCGGAAAAAUUCGGCCAAUUAGGUUAAAUUCCGGAUACUGUGUAAAAUUUAUCGGGUGUUAAGAGAUAAGUAGAGAGUGAGAAGUGAUUGAUGUGAGAGGGAAAAAGAAAGAUAAGAAUGCAUUAAUGAGUGUGACAAGUGUCACAAUAUGAUUGGUUGGACUUUAUGGUUACUAUUCACAUUUUUGACUUUUGACCAAAAUUAGUUAAUAUCUCCAAAAAUUCACAAAAAUCACCAUUUUUCACCUUUGAUGGCCGAACCUCUCAAGCUCAAGAAGAAGAAAUUCUUCAACUUUCAAGCUUCCAUUUCACUCAAUCUUCCAAAACCAACCACAUAACUUAGAUUCUACUCCAUAAAAUCUAUCCUUUGGGUGCUUGUGAGUGGUCUAUUGAAGUUUGUUUGAAGACUUAAGGUGUCCAACAUCUUCCUCUCUCUUGUUACUUGGUAAGUGGUAUAUGAACCCCUCCUAUAUCUAAUGAUGUUGAAUUUAUGCCUAAUGGUGGCUAUUGUGUUAGAAAUUGUGGUUUAUUUCAUGGUUUGGAAUGAUUGGUUGAGUUUUUAUUUUUAUUUUUGGAAUUUUCUGGUUUCAUAUGAUCUUGAUGUGUGGUUGUUUUUGAUGGUUGGUAAUAAGGGGUUUUGGCUCUAGUAGGUGCAUUUGAUAGGAAAUUGCAAUCAAUUUUGAAUUUGGAAGAAUUUCUGGAAAAUUAGGGUUCUUGGUUGAACAUACUUCUGUCCGAAAUUUUGGUCAUAGAUAGAGGCCGAAUUUGACUUUGCUCAAAACAUGAAAGUUGUAGGUAUUGAUGUGUUUGAGGUGCCUGUAAAAUUUCAGGUCAUUUGGUUUAGUGUAGAAUGAGAUAUGACGAAAUUACUGUAGCUGUUCUGCUUUGGACAGAAUGCGAAAACUGUACUGGUAAUUGGCCAUUUUGACUGGAAUUGGUUUGGAUUUUGAAGUUGGUGUCUUCUGAUGAAAUGUAGCUAGAUGUCUUAGCUAACAUAUGCCUUUGGAAUUUCGGCAUUUGGACUUGUAUGGACUGAGAUAUACGAUUACAGUUUUCUGUGUUUUGCAAACCUGUUUUGGUAAUUCUGGUUUCGUAUUUUGCAUAUUUGACCUAGUUGUGCUAGGAUUUGGACUGAGUGGCCUUCUACAUUGUUGUACCCUGUUUCUUAGCUUCGAAACGGUGGGUCUUACACCCCCAUCCGAUAACCGUAGUGAAUUUGGUGCCAUUACCGCAUAUUGAGGUCAAAUACGGUUUGUGAUUCUGGUACGUUUUUGGAAAGUUUAUGGCUGGAACUUUGGCUUCACAUUUGACUGAGUUACAAGCUGUUUGGGCUUCCGACCAAAACACCAAACUUAUAGCCCUAUAUCAGAGCUUUCUAACGCCCUUGGAAUUUCAUGAAUCGGAUUUAUAAAACCUGAGAUAUAGCCGAGCAAACAAGGCCUGCCCGUGAAAAUGACCAGAAAUCUGUUUUGGUCCUGAUGACCAAUUUCCGUUCCGAAUUUGGAUUGCCGACCUUCAUGAAAGUUGUUCCAUUUGGAAUGAACUAUCUAACUGCCAAUUUUCAGCUCUUUUGACCAUGUGUAGCAUAGAAAACAGUUAGCACUCAAAACUGACCAUUUGUGCAUUGGCCAGAUUUCGUAAGUGAUUGUGUUUGGUUCAUUUGGGACUAAAGCCUCUAGUUUCAGUUCUGGAUGUCUUCAUAACAGUUGUUGUUCAUCCUUUAAGCUUCGAUAUGGCGUCUCAUACGCCUUAAUCCGAUAUUCGUAGCUCAACUUAUGAGUAAACUAGAAACGAGUGUCAAAUCUGCCGUUUCCGUUUCCGUCUGUCAUAUUUACGUGCGCGCGUGUUGUUUUUGCCGUUUUGCUUGUUUUGGGCAUGUUAGUGGCCGUUUGUGAUAAAAUCUUCUAUUUCAGACAGCGGUGAGCUAGGCGGAGCCGGUGGGGCCCACUACUAGCGAACGCGCGAAGCGAUUUUGCUUUCGUACUACUUUUGUAUUUUGAGUAAGUAUUCAGGCCGUUUGGUGUGUUUUCUUUGCUAUGUGUUUGAGAUAUGUGAAAAGGGCACUUAGGCGAGGGUGUACUUUAUCGCACUCGACCUAAACCCUAAUUUGAAUGUAUAAUUGUACUUGGCAUAUGUAUAUGAACCUUUUGGAACCAAAACCCUUGAGCUUGUGGCUCGGGGCGACUUUCGAAUAAAGUUUGUGAAGUUUGCAAAGUUUGUGAUUUUGAAUAAUUUUGUGAAGUUUGUGAGUUUGGGGCGAACUCUUGACCUGGUUGGACUAUUCGAGCCGGUUAGGGUUGGUCGAAGGCAGUCCAACUUAGUCUGAGGUCACCAAGUUUGUAGGUUCAUGUUAUGAACCAAUUUUGUGAAUCCGGUUCACCGAGAAGGUGACCAAGUUUGUGACCCGAGCUUGUGACUCAAGCUCAAGUUUGUGAUUUCGUUCGCCCGGGCAAGUUUGUGAGGUGACUGGCCAGUGAGGGUGAUAAGGUGUCGGUGGGUGUACAAGUGAAGUUCUACGGACUAUUAUUUGCAGUCGACGGAGUGUCGGCAGGAGAUCACGCAUGGCACAUGAGUUGGCUUUGGAGCCACCUGUAUCCUUAUUAUGUGAUGUUACUUUUCUGCUUUUGCUUUACUCUUAUUGUGUAACUGUUACGUGAAAUUUAUGCUUUCGCCCCUGUUUACUUACUAAGCAUAUAGCUUACCCCAUUCCUUUUGUUUUCCUUAGCAGGGGCCGACGCGGGGACUUUUGGCUCGUAUACUAGUAUAGUUAGAUUGGCUUGUAAUAGUUGAACAGUUAGGAUGUUUGUUUUUGUUUUGGUGGUUUGACUCGAUACUUUUGGAGAAUGUAAUUAUAACUCUUUUGGGGUUGUAUAUAUUGUAUUUAGUGCUCUUUCGAACUUUAAGUUUUGAGUCCUGGCGCGAGCUAGGCAGGCGGCCCGCCGAUACCCUUGGGUUCGCCCUUGGGAGAAGUGGGGUCGUCACAGUUGGUAUCAGAGCUUAGGCUUUCGAUCUCUGUAGUGUAUCCUAGGCUUGAAGUUUAGGAUGCCGGACUGUGGGAUACUUGGCUAUUAAGGUAAAUAUUGAAUGCUAAGAUUUUGAUAUUGACUUUUGUAAUUUUCCAUAAGGCAAAGUGGGGAUUGAGUUGAUUGCACUUGGAGAUGGCCAGUCCCAGUGUGAAUCGAUUUGGUUCUUACUUAAUAUUGAAGUUAGCUAUUUGGACCUAUUCUUUAGGUUUGCACCCUAGGGCCGCCGGGGCGGUGCUGGUGGAUUAGGUAGGUUCCGUAGGGGAGGCGUGUAGGACCGUUGAUGGAAUUUCCUUUUGACUAUCUGAUAUGUUUAAUUUGUUAUAUCUGCCAUGUUUAUUUUGUUAUAACCAAUAUGCCUGGCUUCUUUUGUUACCCAGUGAUUGACUACAUUUUUGGAGCCGUAGUGCUCACGUAAAUAAUGGAUUUUGCACCGACCGGAUGUCGGAUAACUUGUAUAUUUUUAGUGUGACUUUGUAAAAAUAUGUAUAUUUGAGUAUAAUCUUUUGAGCUUAUUUGUUUGAACCCGGCUUUUGAAUUAUUCGUACUUGUGUGGUUGUAGACCGGCUACUACUCGAGUGGUUGAACUUUUGAGGCAUUGCCUGUUGUGUACUUGACUGCUUUUGAGGAUUAUUUGAUCUGAUUAGUGCAAGUUGGAAUUUCGAGGACGAAAUUCUUUUAAGGAGGGGAGAUUGUGAGGCCCCAGUUCGUACUACGUUGAUAUAUUCAUUAAUUUGGCGGUAACGUUUGGUUUUGGGAGUAUUUCGAAAACCCUAAGUAGGAAUUAAGAUUUAAACCCUAAGUUCCGGUUAAGAUUGAAAACCCGUUUUUUUCCUACAUUUUCUUUAUUAGAAAAUUCCCCAGAUAAUUUUUAUGAGUAAAUAUAGUUUUUAGAUGAUUUUUCUAGUAUUAGUUAGUUUUUGAGAAAUUAAGAACGUAUAUCGGACGUGGGACCCACUAGUGUGAAAAGUUCGGAAAAAUUCGGCCAAUUAGGUUAAAUUCCGGAUACUGUGUAAAAUUUAUCGGGUGUUAAGAGAUAAGUAGAGAGUGAGAAGUGAUUGAUGUGAGAGGGAAAAAGAAAGAUAAGAAUGCAUUAAUGAGUGUGACAAGUGUCACAAUAUGAUUGGUUGGACUUUAUGGUUUACUAUUCACAUUUUUGACUUUUGACCAAAAUUAGUUAAUAUCUCCAAAAAUUCACAAAAAAUCACCAUUUUUCACCUCUUGAUGGCCGAACCUCUCAAGCUCAAGAAGAAAGAAAUUCUUCAACUUUCAAGCUUCCAUUUCACUCAAUCUUCCAAAACCAACCACAUAACUUAGAUUCUACUCCAUAAAAUCUAUCCUUUGGUGCUUGUGAGUGGUCUAUUGAAGUUUGUUUGAAGACUUAAGGUGUCCAACAUCUUCCUCUCUCUUGGUUACUUGGUAAGUGGUAUAUGAACGCCCUCCUAUAUCUAAUGAUGUUGAAUUUAUGCCUAAUGGUGGCUAUUGUGUUAGAAAUUGUGGUUUAUUUCAUGGUUUGGAAUGAUUGGUUGAGUUUUUAUUUUUAUUUUUUUGGAAUUUUCUGGUUUCAUAUGAUCUUGAUGGUGUGGUUGUUUUUGAUGGUUGGUAAUAAGGGGUUUUGGCUCUAGUAGGUGCAUUUGAUAGGAAAUUGCAAUCAAUUUUGAAUUUGGAAGAAUUUCUGGAAAAUUAGGGUUCUUGGUUGAACAUUCUGUCCGAAAUUUUGGGUCAUAGAUAGAGGCCGAAUUUGACUUUGCUCAAAACAUGAAAGUUGUAGGUAUUGAUGUGUUUGAGGUGCCUGUAAAAUUUCAGGUCAUUUGGUUUAGUGUAGAAUGAGAUAUGACGAAAUUACUGUAGCUGUUCUGCUUUGGACAGAAUGCGAAAACUGUACUGGUAAUUGGCCAUUUUGACUGGAAUUGGUUUGGAUUUUGAAGUUGGUGUCUUCUGAUGAAAUGUAGCUAGAUGUCUUAGCUAACAUAUGCCUUUGGAAUUUCGGCAUUUGGACUUGUAUGGACUGAGAUAUACCGAUUACAGUUUUCUGUGUUUUGCAAACCUGUUUUGGUAAUUCUGGUUUCGUAUUUUGCAUAUUUGACCUAGUUGUGCUAGGAUUUGGACUGAGUGGCCUUCUACAUUGUUGUACCCCUGUUUCUUAGCUUCGAAACGGUGGGUCUUACACCCCCAUCCGAUAACCGUAGUGAAUUUGGUGCCAUUACCGCAUAUUGAGGUCAAAUACGGUUUGUGAUUCUGGUACGUUUUUGGAAAGUUUAUGGCUGGAACUUUGACUUCACAUUUGACUGAGUUACAAGCUGUUUGGGCUUCCGACCAAAACACCAAACUUAUAACCCUAUAUCAGAGCUUUCUAACGCCCUUGGAAUUUCAUGAAUCGGAUUUAUAAAACCUGAGAUAUAGCCGAGCAAACAAGGCCUGCCCGUGAAAAUGACCAGAAAUCUGUUUUGGUCCUGAUGACCAAUUUCCGUUCCGAAUUUGGAUUGCCGACCUUCAUGAAAGUUGUUCCAUUUGGAAUGAACUAUCUAACUGCCAAUUUUCAGCUCUUUUGACCAUGUGUAGCAUAGAAAACAGUUAGCACUCAAAACUGACCAUUUGUGCAUUGGCCAGAUUUCGUAAGUGAUUGUGUUUGGUUCAUUUGGGACUAAAGCCUCUAGUUUCAGUUCUGGAUGUCUUCAUAACAGUUGUUGUUCAUCCUUUAAGCUUCGAUAUGGCGUCUCAUACGCCUUAAUCCAAUAUUCGUAGCUCAACUUAUGAGUAAACUAGAAACGAGUGUCAAAUCUGCCGUUUCCGUUUCCGUCUGUCAUAUUUACGUGCGCGCGUGUUGUUUUGCCGUUUUGCUGUUUUGGGCAUGUUAGUGGCCGUUUGUGAUAAAAUCUUCUAUUUCAGACAGCGGUGAGCUAGGCGGAGCCGGUGGGGCCCACUACUAGCGAACGCGCGAAGCGAUUUUGCUUUCGUACUACUUUUGGUAUUUUGAGUAAGUAUUCAGGCCGGUUUGGUGUGUUUUCUUUGCUAUGUGUUUGAGAUAUGUGAAAAGGGCACUUAGGCGAGGGUGUACUUUAUCGCACUCGACCUAAACCCUAAUUUGAAUGUAUAAUUGUACUUGGCAUAUGUAUAUGAACCUUUUGGAACCAAAACCCUUGAGCUUGUGGCUCGGGGCGACUUUCGAAUAAAGUUUGUGAAGUUUGCAAAGUUUGUGAUUUUGAAUAAUUUUGUGAAGUUUGUGAGUUUGGGGCGAACUCUUGACCUGGUUGGACUAUUCGAGCCGGUUAGGGUUUGGUCGAAGUCAGUCCAACUUAGUCUGAGGUCACCAAGUUUGUAGGUUCAUGUUAUGAACCAAUUUUGUGAAUCCGGUUCACCGAGAAGGUGACCAAGUUUGUGACCCGAGCUUGUGACUCAAGCUCAAGUUUGUGAUUUCGUUCGCCCGGGCAAGUUUGUGAGGUGACUGGCCAGUGAGGGUGAUAAGGUGUCGGUGGGUGUACAAGUGAAGUUCUACGGACUAUUAUUUGCAGUCGACGGAGUGUCGGCAGGAGAUCACGCAUGGCACAUGAGUUGGCUUUGGAGCCACCUGUAUCCUUAUUAUGUGAUGUUACUUUUCUGCUUUUGCUUUACUCUUAUUGUGUAACUGUUACGUGAAAUUUAUGCUUUCGCCCCUGUUUACUUACUAAGCAUAUAGCUUACCCCAUUCCUUUUGUUUUCCUUAACAGGGGCCGACGCGGGGACUUUUGGCUCGUAUACUAGUAUAGUUAGAUUGGCUUGUAAUAGUUGAACAGUUAGGAUGUUUGUUUUUGUUUUGGUGGUUUGACUCGAUACUUUUGGAGAAUGUUAAUUAUAACUCUUUUGGGGUUGUAUAUAUUGUAUUUAGUGCUCUUUCGAACUUUAAGUUUUGAGUCCUGGCGCGAGCUAGGCAGGCGGCCGCCGAUACCCUUGGGUUCGCCCUUGGGAGAAGUGGGGUCGUCACAGUUGGUAUCAGAGCUUAGGCUUUCGAUCUCUGUAGUGUAUCCUAGGCUUGAAGUUUAGGAUGCCGGACUGUGGGAUACUUGGCUAUUAAGGUAAAUAUUGAAUGCUAAGAUUUAUGAUAUUCACUUUUGUAAUUUUCCAUAAGGCAAAGUGGGAUUGAGUUGAUUGCACUUGGAGAUGGCCAGUCCCAGUGUGAAUCGAUUUGGUUCUUACUUAAUAUUGAAGUUAGCUAUUUGGACCUAUUCUUUAGGUUUGCACCCUAGGGCCGCCGGCGGUGCUGGUGGAUUAGGUAGGUUCCGUAGGGGAGGCGUGUAGGACCGUUGAUGGAAUUUCUUUUGACUAUCUGAUAUGUUUAAUUUGUUAUAUCUGCCAUGUUAUUUUGUUAUAACCAAUAUGCCUGCGCUUCUUUUGUUACCAGUGAUUGACUACAUUUUUGGAGCCGUAGUGCUCACGUAAAUAAUGGAUUUUGCACCGACCGGAUGUCGGAUAACUUGUAUAUUUUUAGUGGGACUUGUAAAAAUAUGUAUAUUUGAGUAUAAUCUUUUGAGCUUAUUUGUUUGAACCCGGCUUUUGAAUUUAUUCGUACUUGUGUGGUUGUAGACCGGCUACUACUCGAGUGGUUGAACUUUGAGGCAUUGCCUGUUGUGUACUUGACUGCUUUUGAGGAUUAUUUGAUCUGAUUAGUGCAAGUUGGAAUUUCGAGGACGAAAUUCUUUUAAGGAGGGGAGAUUGUGAGGCCCCAGUUCGUACUACGUUGAUAUAUUCAUUAAUUUGGCGGUAACGUUUGGUUUUGGGAGUAUUUCGAAAACCCUAAGUAGGAAUUAAGAUUUAAACCCUAAGUUCCGGUUAAGAUUGAAAACCCGUUUUUUCCUACAUUUUCUUUAUUAGAAAAUUCCCCAGAUAAUUUUUAUGAGUAAAUAUAGUUUUUAGAUGAUUUUUCUAGUAUUAGUUAGUUUUUUGAGAAAUUAAGAACGUAUAUCGGACGUGGACCCACUAGUGUGAAAAGUUCGGAAAAUUCGGCCAAUUAGGUUAAAUUCCGGAUACUGUGUAAAAUUUAUCGGGCGUGUUAAGAGAUAAGUAGAGAGUGAGAAGUGAUUGAUGUGAGAGGGAAAAAGAAAGAUAAGAAUGCAUUAAUUGAGUGUGACAAGUGUCACAAUAUGAUUGGUUGGACUUUAUGGUUUACUAUUCACAUUUUGACUUUUGACCAAAAUUAGUUAAUAUCUCCAAAAAUUCACAAAAAAAUCACCAUUUUUCACCUCUUGAUGGCGAACCUCUCAAGCUCAAGAAGAAAGAAAUUCUUCAACUUUCAAGCUUCCAUUUCACUCAAUCUUCCAAAACCAACCACAUAACUUAGAUUCUACUCCAUAAAAUCUAUCCUUUUGGGUGCUUGUGAGUGGUCUAUUGAAGUUUGUUUGAAAGACUUAAGGUGUCCAACAUCUUCCUCUCUCUUGGUUACUUAGGUAAGUGUAUAUGAACGCCCUCCUAUAUCUAAUGAUGUUGAAUUUAUGCCUAAUGGUGGCUAUUGUGUUAGAAAUUGUGGUUUAUUUCAUGGUUUGGAAUGAUUGGUUGAGUUUUAUUUUUUAUUUUUUUGGAAUUUUCUGGUUUCAUAUGAUCUUGAUGUGUGGUUGUUUUGAAUGGUUGGUAAUAAGGGGUUUUGGCUCUAGUAGGUGCAUUUGAUAGGAAAUUUGCAAUCAAUUUUGAAUUUGGAAGAAUUUCUGGAAAAUUAGGGUUCUUGGUUGAACAUUCUGUCCGAAAUUUUGGGUCAUAGAUAGAGGCCGAAUUUGACUUUGCUCAAAACAUGAAAGUUGUAGGUAUUGAUGUGUUGAGGUGCCUGUAAAAUUUCAGGUCAUUUCGUUUAGUGUAGAAUGAGAUAUGACGAAAUUACUGUAGCUGUUCUGCUUUGGACAGAAUGCGAAAACUGUACUGGUAAUUGGCCAUUUUGACUGGAAUUGGUUUGGAUUUUGAAGUUGGUGUCUUCUGAUGAAAUGUAGCUAGAUGUCUUAGCUAACAUAUGCCUUUGGAAUUUCGGCAUUUGGACUUGUAUGGACUGAGAUAUACCGAUUACAGUUUUCUGUGUUUUGCAAACCUGUUUUGGUAAUUCUGGUUUCGUAUUUUGCAUAUUUGACCUAGUUGUGCUAGGAUUUGGACUGAGUGGCCUUCUACAUUGUUGUACCCCUGUUUCUUAGCUUCGAAACGGUGGGUCUUACACCCCCAUCCGAUAACCGUAGUGAAUUUGGUGCCAUUACCGCAUAUUGAGGUCAAAUACGGUUUGUGAUUCUUGGUCGUUUUUGGAAAGUUUAUGGCUGGAACUUUGACUUCACAUUUGACUGAGUUACAAGCUGUUUGGGCUUCCGACCAAAACACCAAACUUAUAACCCUAUAUCAGAGCUUUCUAACGCCCUUGGAAUUUCAUGAAUCGGAUUUAUAAAACCUGAGAUAUAGCCGAGCAAACAAAGCUGCCCGUGAAAAUGACCAGAAAUCUGUUUUGGUCCUGAUGACCAAUUUCCGUUCCGAAUUUGGAUUGCCGACCUUCAUGAAAGUUUGUUCCAUUUGGAAUGAACUAUCUAACUGCCAAUUUUCAGCUCUUUUGACCAUGUGUAGCAUAGAAAACAGUUAGCACUCAAAACUGACCAUUUGUGCAUUGGCCAGAUUUCGUAAGUGAUUGUGUUUGGUUCAUUUGGCGACUAAAGCCUCUAGUUUCAGUUCUGGAUGUCUUCAUAACAGUUGUUGUUCAUCCUUUAAGCUUCGAUAUGGCGUCUCAUACGCCUUAAUCCAAUAUUCGUAGCUCAACUUAUGAGUAAACUAGAAACGAGUGUCAAAUCUGCCGUUUCCGUUUCCGUCUGUCAUAUUUACGUGCGCGCGUGUUGUUUUGCCGUUUUGCUUGUUUUGGGCAUGUUAGUGGCCGUUUGUGAUAAAAUCUUCUAUUUCAGACAGCGGUGAGCUAGGCGGAGCCGGUGGGGCCCACUACUAGCGAACGCGCGAAGCGAUUUUGCUUUCGUACUACUUUUGGUAUUUUGAGUAAGUAUUCAGGCCGGUUUGGUGUGUUUUCUUUGCUAUGUGUUUGAGAUAUGUGAAAAGGGCACUUAGGCGAGGGUGUACUUUAUCGCACUCGACCUAAACCCUAAUUUGAAUGUAUAAUUGUACUUGGCAUAUGUAUAUGAACCUUUUGGAACCAAAACCCUUGAGCUUGUGGCUCGGGCGACUUUCGAAUAAAGUUUGUGAAGUUUGCAAAGUUUGUGAUUUUGAAUAAUUUUGUGAAGUUUGUGAGUUUGGGGCGAACUCUUGACCUGGUUGGACUAUUCGAGCCGGUUAGGGUUUGGUCGAAGUCAGUCCAACUUAGUCUGAGGUCACCAAGUUUGUAGGUUCAUGUUAUGAACCAAUUUUGUGAAUCCGGUUCACCGAGAAGGUGACCAAGUUUGUGACCCGAGCUUGUGACUCAAGCUCAAGUUUGUGUGAUUUCGUUCGCCCGGGCAAGUUUGUGAGGUGACUGGCCAGUGAGGGUGAUAAGGUGUCGGUGGUGUGUACAAGUGAAGUUCUACGGACUAUUAUUUGCAGUCGACGGAGUGUCGGCAGGAGAUCACGCAUGGCACAUGAGUUGGCUUUGGAGCCACCUGUAUCCUUAUCAUGUGAUGUUACUUUUCUGCUUUUGCUUUACUCUUAUUGUGUAACUGUUACGUGAAAUUUAUGCUUUCGCCCCUGUUUACUUACUAAGCAUAUAGCUUACCCCAUUCCUUUUGUUUUCCUUAACAGGGGCCGACGCGGGGACUUUUGGCUCGUAUACUAGUAUAGUUAGAUUGGCUUGUAAUAGUUGAACAGUUAGGAUUUUUUUGUUUUGGUGGUUUGACUCGAUACUUUUGGAGAAUGUAAUUAUAACUCUUUUGGGGUUGUAUAUAUUGUAUUUAGUGCUCUUUUCGAACUUUAAGUUUUGAGUCCUGGCGCGAGCUAGGCAGGCGGCCCGCCGAUACCCUUGGGUUCGCCCUUGGGAGAAGUGGCGGUCGUCACAGAGCACUUGAUGAAGACCUUUUGAAGACAUGUGCCUAGCUAGCAAAUGUAAUAGUUAGGGCUUUAAUUGUCUUAUGUGUCUUGCAUGCUUAGUUGCUACGUGUUAAUUUGCUUUGUUAGGGCCUUGCAUCUAGUCGAGCAUGCUAAAUGUUAUGUGCUAUGUGUUUUUAAGUGUUUGGCAUGUCUACUCGCUUUCCAUAGCUAUGAAUGAAUGGAAUGGAUGAAUGUACGUUUCCACUAGUCCAACGCUAGUCGGAAUUCAUAGAAUGGGCUAGUCCAACGCUAGACCCUUAGGGAUUUCACCUCGUUAGCACAUAUUUGCAUGUUCAUUACAUGUCAUGCAUUCUUUUUAGUUUUUUAUCAUUUUGCAUGCCCCUCGAACCCUUUUCCCUCCAUUUUAGGAUUUUUGCAUUUCAUGCUAGCUAUAGGUUCAUUUGAUUGAGAGUCCCCUUAAAUAUGGGAUAUAGACGAGUGUGGCUUUUUCUAAGCCUUAGCACGCUUGUAUUCCCUCUAUAAAAGGGCAAAUUAAGUCACGAUUUAGGUCUCCCCGUACCCAAUAUACAUGCAUUCCCUAGGCUCAUGCAUUCUAAAUCCACUCUAUCAUUACACUUUCACUUUUUCUCCCAUUUGCACACGUACACCUUUAUCCCUUCUCCCCUUAAAUAUGGGAUAUAGACGAGUGUGGCUUUUUCUAAGCCUUAGCACGCUUGUAUUCCCUCUAUAAAAGGGCAAAUUAAGUCACGAUUUAGGUCUCCCCGUACCCAAUAUGCAUGCAUUCCCUAGGCUCAUGCAUUCUAAAUCCACUCUAUCAUUACACUUUCACUUUUUCUCCCAUUUGCACACGUACACCUUUUAUCCCUUCACUUGCACACUUUCACUUUUGUCUCAUUUGCACACGCAUUUUAUCCCUUCACUUGCGCACGAACACUUUUCCUCCCAUUUGCACAUGUACACCUUUUUAUCCCUUCACUUGCACACAAACACUUGUAAAUACAUUUGCACACCUCCACUUACAUCCUAUUAUUUUUAUUAUUUUUCUCACUUCACAUAUCCUCACAUUGCAUACAUGCAUUCCAUUCAUUUGCAUCCCACUCGCAUUAUUCGUGACUUCUUCAAAGGGUCGUUAUUGGGCUUCACUAUUAAUGUGAUUGGCACCACUCAACCUUUGAAGAGAAAUUUCCCCCAAUACCCCUAGGUCUAGGGUUUGCAUUCAUGUAGUGCAUCCAAAUGUAAUAAAUUCUUUGGUUAAAACAAGAAAAUCUUUGAUUAAAUCAUGCAACUAGCCUUGGCUAGGUCGAAGGGUGCCUUGGAUUUUUAUCCUUGCCUUCCCCUUCGUCAAAUGUGACUCCCGAACCUUUUUCUUUGGUUUACGUGGACUAGAGUCGUUUAAAAGGGGUUUUUUAUUACUUUUCCUAUUUUUCCUUUAAAAAAUUCAUUUUAGGUGACUUGGUACACCUUAACUCAUUACAAGUGGCGACUCCAAUUUUGAUUUCAAAAACCCUUUUUAAAACUAUAAUUUUGGGUCAAAUCGUCGUGUGACAGCGCCCACUUUCCCCUAAGGCGAACCAAAGGGGUUGGCGGACUGCCUGCCCAGCUCUCGCCAGGACUACGGAUCAGAUUAGCGCGAUCUAAUACUUUUCGGGUCAUACAACCGCGUGAAAACCAGUCGAACCCACAAAAUAAGAAAAAAACAAAGUCGGAGUCGGCCAUGAAGAGGAACCGACCCGUCAAAACCCAACCGAAAGAGCACGCAAACAUUCACAUCUGAACUUUAGCGAUUACAAUCCAAAAGGACAUACAAAAGUUUUCAAAAGUUAAUACAUGUACGGUUUGCCAAAUCCAAAAGAGAAACGGACCAAAAGUACAUUUAGGGUUUUAAUACAUGAGCUAUACAAAAGAUAUGUCCAACUAGCUCAAGUCGGCAACCGAUUAUCAAAUCCAGUCCAAAAGUAUUUAUUUUCCUGUAAGGAAAACAAAAGGAACAGAACGGGGUGAGCUUGCGCUCAAUGAGGUACCAAACAGAGAGCAAUAAAGUCAUGGCAUUUCACAUUUAACAAAUCAGAUACACAUGUCAGAUGUAAAGCAAAGGAACUAAUGAUUCAAAUCAGAAGGAUACGGGUGGCUCUCAGGAGCCAAAUUUCCAGCGCAGUACUUGAUCCAGACCGGUUGACUCUCCGUCAACGUAUAUAGAACCAAACGUCCGUAGACCCCUCUUUACACCGAAUUCCGUCCACCAAACACCCCUUUACCGGGCCCGCUCACCGUAACCGAACAGAAAUGGUAAUACUCGAGUAUACCCGGAAUCAAGGGUCUCAAUACCCAAAAUCCCCGAACAGACUACCGUGGUUCGUUAUCUAAUCGUCCAGGCCCUUGCCGGCCCGACUCGAAUAACUUAGCCACAGGAUUGAGCUCAUAGGUCAUAGAAAUUCGAACAGAUGCAGACAUAGAUAACAGAUUCAAAUUUUGCAUAGUAAAUUGGCAUAUGAUCAGACUAGAGAACGACUGUGAUAAAGUACACCCUCGUCUCGAACAAAUAAACAGAUUGCAGAGCAAAAUCAAGUUAAACAACAGUGAAGGGGAGUGGUACACUCACCGGCUCAACUUCAAAAGUUUUCACUUCAGAUUGGCCUUAAUCGCCAAGAAACCCUAAAAUAGUCAAAAUAAACCAAUUGAAGGUUUUACUUCCAGAAUCGAGUAAACAGAAUGCACAUGUGAGGCUCGACUACUAGUCGUAUAUCUCGCCCAAAUAAUUACUAAUGCAAGGGUGCAAAACAUGAUUUUCUUGGAAACGAAAAGGUAGCAUGAAGACCUAGGCGCAAACAACCCAAAAGCCUUUCAUUCUACCAAAAGGCAAACCUAACUUAAAGGAACCAAACGGCCUAGAAAAUCGGGCAGCACUUCCCCUAGAUUUCUUACUUUUCCAGCCAUUAAGGCUUCAUUAUUUACUCAAAUCAGUCCCAACAUCUCACACAAAAUUCAUCUCAUUUCCCAAAAGCCGUUCACUAGGCUCAAAGUGGUACAAGUACAAAAGUUAACUAGGAAACAACCGAAAUGAAAGCAAGCCCUAAAAGAGACUCGAUAACGAGUCAUAAACCAAUGCCAACCACAACCCCAAUAAGGUUUUAUAAACAUAUACAAGCAUGAUAGCAAACCAGAAAUUAAGAAAGGGCUUUAACUUAAGCCUUGAUAAGAAAACCGGUUUUGACGUCAUAAUGCGGUAAUGGCACAACUCCCACUACAAUUAUCGGUUGGGGGUGUAAGACCCACCGUUUCGAAGCUAUGGAACAGGGCUACAAUAAUGUAGAAGACCACUCAAUCCAGUUCCUGACACAACUAGGUCAAAUAUACGAAAUACUAUACCAGAAUUCCCAAAACAGGUUUGCAAAACGCAGAAAACUGUAAUCGGUAUAUCUCAGUCCAUACAAGUCUAAAUGCCGAAAUUCCAAAGGCAUAAGUUAGCUAAGUCAUCCAGCUAAAUUUCAUCAGAAGACACCAACUCCAAAAUCCAAACCAAAACCAGUCAAAACAGACAAUUACUAUCGCAGAUCGCACAUUCUGUUCACCCAGAACAGCAACAGUAAAAACGGCAUAACUCACUCUACACUACUCCAAAUGCCCUGAAAUUUUGCAGGCACUUCAAACUCAUCAAUACCUACAACUUUCAUGUUUUGAGCAAAGUCCAAUUCGGCCUCUAUCUAUGACCUAAAAUUUCGGACAGAAUGUUCAACCAAGAACCCUAGUUUUCCAGAAAUUCUUCCAAAUCCAAAAUUGAUUGCAAUUUUCUAUCAUAUGCACCUACUAGAGCCAAAGCCCCUUAUUACCAACCAUCAAAAACAACCACACCAUCAAGAUCAUAUUAAACCAGAAAAAUUCCCAAUAAAAUAAAAACUUCACCAAAACAAGCCAAAUCAAGAGAUAAAUCACAUUUUCAAACACUCAAGCCACUUCUAAGCAUCAUAUAACCAUUAUUAGAGGUAGUAGGGUGUUCAAGCAACACUUACCAAGAAAUCAAGAGAGAGGAAGAUGUUGUGCACCUUAGUUCUUCAAACAAAGUUCACCAAACAACUUACUAGCACUAGAAGGAAGAAUUUUAUGGAGCAAAUCUAAGUUUAAUUGGUUGGAAUGGAAGAUUGAGAUAGUUUGAAGCUUGUAAAUUGAAGAAGUUUUUCUUCCUUGUCCAAGAGGGAGAAUCGGCCAACAAGAGGUAAGAAAGAAUGAAUUUUUAGUCAAUUUUUGAGAUAUUUAAUCCAUGGUAAGAAAAGUCAAAAAUGUCCAACAAGUGGACCAAUCACAUAGUGCCACUUGGCACUUCAUUUAAUGCCUUCCUAUCACUUGGUUCCUCUCACAUCAAUGCCAUGUCACCCUCUACUUAUCUCUUAACACCCGAUAAAUUUCCACCAGUAUCCGAAACUUAACCUUAUUGGCCGAAUUUUUCCGAACUUUUCGCACUAGUGGGUCCCACGUCCACUAUUUACUCUUAAUUUUCUAAAAUUUCUCCAAUGCUAGGAAAAUCAUCUUAAAACUAUAAUUGCUCAUAAAAUUCACUAAGAAAAUAUUUCUACGCCAGAAAAUGCAGAAAACAUGCAAUUAAGGGGAAAUAAACCCUAGGAAAAUAAUUAGGGUUUUACGGGUUCUCACACUCUCUCCCCCUUAAAAGAAUUUCGUCCUCGAAAUUCCAUAUCAUUGACUACUCUGAGAUUAAAUUGAGCAUUAUACUUAGCUAACAGAUCUGUACCCCUUCUAGGGCUUCGUCCAAAUAUUUAUAUCUUAAUCAAGGUCGAUCACGCUUAACCACCCGAACAAACCACACGAAGUUCCAUAGAAUUGCCUUUCUAGUUCACCAAAUCCUUUCUACCCUAGGCCUUCAUAUCUUUCGUAUCCGGGCGCAAGAAUCUCGUCUAGGAUAAUUCACAUCUCGAGCCGGCCGGUCCCAAGAGUAAACCAUCCUUAUUAAAGAUUCCUACCCGACAUACAUACCUAGCUUCCUCGAGCCCCAUGAUAAAGAUUCGUACACUUAUCACAUGCCCGGUUCAUAACUUACGCUCAAACGAGCACUUAGACAUAUUCAUGAAAUUAGGACCACAACACCACUUGGCCCAGUCUCACUCCGCGCAGAGACCACGCGAAGUGGCUCUGAUACCACUUGUGACAGCCCCACUUUCCCCUAAGGCGAACCAAAGGGGUUGGCGGACUGCCUGCCCAGCUCUCGCCAGGACUACGGAUCAGAUUAGCGCGAUCUAAUACUUUUCGGGUCAUACAACCGCGUGAAAACCAGUCGAACCCACAAAAUAAGAAAAAAACAAAGUCGGAGUCGGCCAUGAAGAGGAACGACCCGUCAAAACCCAACCGAAAGAGCACGCAAACAUUCACAUCUGAACUUUAGCGAUUACAAUCCAAAAGGACAUACAAAAGUUUUCAAAAGUUAAUACAUGUACGGUUUGCCAAAUCCAAAAGAGAAACGGACCAAAAGUACAUUUAGGGUUUUAAUACAUGAGCUAUACAAAAGAUAUGUCCAACUAGCUCAAGUCGGCAACCGAUUAUCAAAUCCAGUCCAAAAGUAUUUAUUUUCCUGUAAGGAAAACAAAAGGAACAGAACGGGGUGAGCUUGCGCUCAAUGAGGUACCAAACAGAGAGCAAUAAAGUCAUGGCAUUUCACAUUUAACAAAUCAGAUACACAUGUCAGAUGUAAAGCAAAGGAACUAAUGAUUCAAAUCAGAAGGAUACGGGUGGCUCUCAGGAGCCAAAUUUCCAGCGCAGUACUUGAUCCAGACCGGUUGACUCUCCGUCAACGUAUAUAGAACCAAACGUCCGUAGACCCCUCUUUACACCGAAUUCCGUCCACCAAACACCCCUUUACCGGGCCCGCUCACCGUAACCGAACAGAAAUGGUAAUACUCGAGUAUACCCGGAAUCAAGGGUCUCAAUACCCAAAAUCCCCGAACAGACUACCGUGGUUCGUUAUCUAAUCGUCCAGGCCCUUGCCGGCCCGACUCGAAUAACUUAGCCACAGGAUUGAGCUCAUAGGUCAUAGAAAUUCGAACAGAUGCAGACAUAGAUAACAGAUUCAAAUUUUGCAUAGUAAAUUGGCAUAUGAUCAGACUAGAGAACGACUGUGAUAAAGUACACCCUCGUCUCGAACAAAUAAACAGAUUGCAGAGCAAAAUCAAGUUAAACAACAGUGAAGGGGAGUGGUACACUCACCGGCUCAACUUCAAAAGUUUUCACUUCAGAUUGGCCUUAAUCGCCAAGAAACCCUAAAAUAGUCAAAAUAAACCAAUUGAAGGUUUUACUUCCAGAAUCGAGUAAACAGAAUGCACAUGUGAGGCUCGACUACUAGUCGUAUAUCUCGCCCAAAUAAUUACUAAUGCAAGGGUGCAAAACAUGAUUUUCUUGGAAACGAAAAGGUAGCAUGAAGACCUAGGCGCAAACAACCCAAAAGCCUUUCAUUCUACCAAAAGGCAAACCUAACUUAAAGGAACCAAACGGCCUAGAAAAUCGGGCAGCACUUCCCCUAGAUUUCUUACUUUUCCAGCCAUUAAGGCUUCAUUAUUUACUCAAAUCAGUCCCAACAUCUCACACAAAAUUCAUCUCAUUUCCCAAAAGCCGUUCACUAGGCUCAAAGUGGUACAAGUACAAAAGUUAACUAGGAAACAACCGAAAUGAAAGCAAGCCCUAAAAGAGACUCGAUAACGAGUCAUAAACCAAUGCCAACCACAACCCCAAUAAGGUUUUAUAAACAUAUACAAGCAUGAUAGCAAACCAGAAAUUAAGAAAGGGCUUUAACUUAAGCCUUGAUAAGAAAACCGGUUUUGACGUCAUAAUGCGGUAAUGGCACAACUCCCACUACAAUUAUCGGUUGGGGGUGUAAGACCCACCGUUUCGAAGCUAUGGAACAGGGCUACAAUAAUGUAGAAGACCACUCAAUCCAGUUCCUGACACAACUAGGUCAAAUAUACGAAAUACUAUACCAGAAUUCCCAAAACAGGUUUGCAAAACGCAGAAAACUGUAAUCGGUAUAUCUCAGUCCAUACAAGUCUAAAUGCCGAAAUUCCAAAGGCAUAAGUUAGCUAAGUCAUCCAGCUAAAUUUCAUCAGAAGACACCAACUCCAAAAUCCAAACCAAAACCAGUCAAAACAGACAAUUACUAUCGCAGAUCGCACAUUCUGUUCACCCAGAACAGCAACAGUAAAAACGGCAUAACUCACUCUACACUACUCCAAAUGCCCUGAAAUUUUGCAGGCACUUCAAACUCAUCAAUACCUACAACUUUCAUGUUUUGAGCAAAGUCCAAUUCGGCCUCUAUCUAUGACCUAAAAUUUCGGACAGAAUGUUCAACCAAGAACCCUAGUUUUCCAGAAAUUCUUCCAAAUCCAAAAUUGAUUGCAAUUUUCUAUCAUAUGCACCUACUAGAGCCAAAGCCCCUUAUUACCAACCAUCAAAAAAACCACACCAUCAAGAUCAUAUUAAACCAGAAAAAUUCCCAAUAAAAUAAAAACUUCACCAAAACAAGCCAAAUCAAGAGAUAAAUCACAUUUUCAAACACUCAAGCCACUUCUAAGCAUCAUAUAACCAUUAUUAGAGGUAGUAGGGUGUUCAAGCAACACUUACCAAGAAAUCAAGAGAGAGGAAGAUGUUGUGCACCUUAGUUCUUCAAACAAAGUUCACCAAACAACUUACUAGCACUAGAAGGAAGAAUUUUAUGGAGCAAAUCUAAGUUUAAUUGGUUGGAAUGGAAGAUUGAGAUAGUUUGAAGCUUGUAAAUUGAAGAAGUUUUUCUUCCUUGUCCAAGAGGGAGAAUCGGCCAACAAGAGGUAAGAAAGAAUGAAUUUUUAGUCAAUUUUUGAGAUAUUUAAUCCAUGGUAAGAAAAGUCAAAAAUGUCCAACAAGUGGACCAAUCACAUAGUGCCACUUGGCACUUCAUUUAAUGCCUUCCUAUCACUUGGUUCCUCUCACAUCAAUGCCAUGUCACCCUCUACUUAUCUCUUAACACCCGAUAAAUUUCCACCAGUAUCCGAAACUUAACCUUAUUGGCCGAAUUUUUCCGAACUUUUCGCACUAGUGGGUCCCACGUCCACUAUUUACUCUUAAUUUUCUAAAAUUUCUCCAAUGCUAGGAAAAUCAUCUUAAAACUAUAAUUGCUCAUAAAAUUCACUAAGAAAAUAUUUCUACGCCAGAAAAUGCAGAAAACAUGCAAUUAAGGGGAAAUAAACCCUAGGAAAAUAAUUAGGGUUUUACGGGUUCUCACACUCUCUCCCCCUUAAAAGAAUUUCGUCCUCGAAAUUCCAUAUCAUUGACUACUCUGAGAUUAAAUUGAGCAUUAUACUUAGCUAACAGAUCUGUACCCCUUCUAGGGCUUCGUCCAAAUAUUUAUAUCUUAAUCAAGGUCGAUCACGCUUAACCACCCGAACAAACCACACGAAGUUCCAUAGAAUUGCCUUUCUAGUUCACCAAAUCCUUUCUACCCUAGGCCUUCAUAUCUUUCGUAUCCGGGCGCAAGAAUCUCGUCUAGGAUAAUUCACAUCUCGAGCCGGCCGGUCCCAAGAGUAAACCAUCCUUAUUAAAGAUUCCUACCCGACAUACAUACCUAGCUUCCUCGAGCCCCAUGAUAAAGAUUCGUACACUUAUCACAUGCCCGGUUCAUAACUUACGCUCAAACGAGCACUUAGACAUAUUCAUGAAAUUAGGACCACAACACCACUUGGCCCAGUCUCACUCCGCGCAGAGACCACGCGAAGUGGCUCUGAUACCACUUGUGACAGCCCCACUUUCCCCUAAGGCGAACCAAAGGGGUUGGCGGACUGCCUGCCCAGCUCUCGCCAGGACUACGGAUCAGAUUAGCGCGAUCUAAUACUUUUCGGGUCAUACAACCGCGUGAAAACCAGUCGAACCCACAAAAUAAGAAAAAAACAAAGUCGGAGUCGGCCAUGAAGAGGAACGCGACCCGUCAAAACCCAACCGAAAGAGCACGCAAACAUUCACAUCUGAACUUUAGCGAUUACAAUCCAAAAGGACAUACAAAAGUUUUCAAAAGUUAAUACAUGUACGGUUUGCCAAAUCCAAAAGAGAAACGGACCAAAAGUACAUUUAGGGUUUUAAUACAUGAGCUAUACAAAAGAUAUGUCCAACUAGCUCAAGUCGGCAACCGAUUAUCAAAUCCAGUCCAAAAGUAUUUAUUUUCCUGUAAGGAAAACAAAAGGAACAGAACGGGGUGAGCUUGCGCUCAAUGAGGUACCAAACAGAGAGCAAUAAAGUCAUGGCAUUUCACAUUUAACAAAUCAGAUACACAUGUCAGAUGUAAAGCAAAGGAACUAAUGAUUCAAAUCAGAAGGAUACGGGUGGCUCUCAGGAGCCAAAUUUCCAGCGCAGUACUUGAUCCAGACCGGUUGACUCUCCGUCAACGUAUAUAGAACCAAACGUCCGUAGACCCCUCUUUACACCGAAUUCCGUCCACCAAACACCCCUUUACCGGGCCCGCUCACCGUAACCGAACAGAAAUGGUAAUACUCGAGUAUACCCGAAUCAAUCAAGGGUCUCAAUACCCAAAAUCCCCGAACAGACUACCGUGGUUCGUUAUCUAAUCGUCCAGGCCCUUGCCGGCCCGACUCGAAUAACUUAGCCACAGGAUUGAGCUCAUAGGUCAUAGAAAUUCGAACAGAUGCAGACAUAGAUAACAGAUUCAAAUUUUGCAUAGUAAAUUGGCAUAUGAUCAGACUAGAGAACGACUGUGAUAAAGUACACCCUCGUCUCGAACAAAUAAACAGAUUGCAGAGCAAAAUCAAGUUAAACAACAGUGAAGGGGAGUGGUACACUCACCGGCUCAACUUCAAAAGUUUUCACUUCAGAUUGGCCUUAAUCGCCAAGAAACCCUAAAAUAGUCAAAAUAAACCAAUUGAAGGUUUUACUUCCAGAAUCGAGUAAACAGAAUGCACAUGUGAGGCUCGACUACUAGUCGUAUAUCUCGCCCAAAUAAUUACUAAUGCAAGGGUGCAAAACAUGAUUUUCUUGGAAACGAAAAGGUAGCAUGAAGACCUAGGCGCAAACAACCCAAAAGCCUUUCAUUCUACCAAAAGGCAAACCUAACUUAAAGGAACCAAACGGCCUAGAAAAUCGGGCAGCACUUCCCCUAGAUUUCUUACUUUUCCAGCCAUUAAGGCUUCAUUAUUUACUCAAAUCAGUCCCAACAUCUCACACAAAAUUCAUCUCAUUUCCCAAAAGCCGUUCACUAGGCUCAAAGUGGUACAAGUACAAAAGUUAACUAGGAAACAACCGAAAUGAAAGCAAGCCCUAAAAGAGACUCGAUAACGAGUCAUAAACCAAUGCCAACCACAACCCCAAUAAGGUUUUAUAAACAUAUACAAGCAUGAUAGCAAACCAGAAAUUAAGAAAGGGCUUUAACUUAAGCCUUGAUAAGAAAACCGGUUUUGACGUCAUAAUGCGGUAAUGGCACAACUCUCACUACAAUUAUCGGUUGGGGUGUAAGACCCUCCGUUUCGAAGCUAUGGAACAGGGCUACAAUAAUGUAGAAGACCACUCAAUCCAGUUCCUGACACAACUAGGUCAAAUAUACGAAAUAUAUACCAGAAUUCCCAAAACAGGUUUGCAAAACGCAGAAAACUGUAAUCGGUAUAUCUCAGUCCAUACAAGUCUAAAUGCCGAAAUUCCAAAGGCAUAAGUUAGCUAAGUCAUCCAGCUAAAUUUCAUCAGAAUACACCAACUCCAAAAUCCAAACCAAACCAGUCAAAACAGACAAUUACUAUCGCAGAUCGCACAUUCUGUUCACCCAGAACAGCAACAGUAAAAACGGCAUAACUCACUCUACACUACUCCAAAUGCCCUGAAAUUUUGCAGGCACUUCAAACUCAUCAAUACCUACAACUUUAAUGUUUUGAGCAAAGUCCAAUUCGGCCUCUAUCUAUGACCUAAAAUUUCGGACAGAAUGUUCAACCAAGAACCCUAGUUUUCCAGAAAUUCUUCCAAAUCCAAAAUUGAUUGCAAUUUUCUAUCAUAUGCACCUACUAGAGCCAAAGCCCCUUAUUACCAACCAUCAAAAACAACCACACCAUCAAGAUCAUAUUAAACCAGAAAAAUUCCCAAUAAAAUAAAAACUUCACCAAAACAAGCCAAAUCAAGAGAUAAAUCACAUUUUCAAACACUCAAGCCACUUCUAAGCAUCAUAUAACCAUUAUUAGAGGUAGUAGGGUGUUCAAGCAACACUUACCAAGAAAUCAAGAGAGAGGAAGAUGUUGUGCACCUUAGUUCUUCAAACAAAGUUCACCAAACAACUUACUAGCACUAGAAGGAAGAAUUUUAUGGAGCAAAUCUAAGUUUAAUUGGUUGGAAUGGAAGAUUGAGAUAGUUUGAAGCUUGUAAAUUGAAGAAGUUUUUCUUCCUUGUCCAAGAGGGAGAAUCGGCCAACAAGAGGUAAGAAAGAAUGAAUUUUUAGUCAAUUUUUGAGAUAUUUAAUCCAUGGUAAGAAAAGUCAAAAAUGUCCAACAAGUGGACCAAUCACAUAGUGCCACUUGGCACUUCAUUUAAUGCCUUCCUAUCACUUGGUUCCUCUCACAUCAAUGCCAUGUCACCCUCUACUUAUCUCUUAACACCCGAUAAAUUUCCACCAGUAUCCGAAACUUAACCUUAUUGGCCGAAUUUUUCCGAACUUUUCGCACUAGUGGGUCCCACGUCCACUAUUUACUCUUAAUUUUCUAAAAUUUCUCCAAUGCUAGGAAAAUCAUCUUAAAACUAUAAUUGCUCAUAAAAUUCACUAAGAAAAUAUUUCUACGCCAGAAAAUCCAGAAAACAUGCAAUUAAGGGGAAAUAAACCCUAGGAAAAUAAUUAGGGUUUUACGGGUUCUCACACGUCGCAUUCUCAAAACCCCAUUUAGACCCAUUUUUCUUUAAAUCACGAUUCAUCUUCCAAUCAAAAAACACAUUUUCAAACCAUUUAUUUUUCUUAUCAAAAAAUGGGGCGCGACAGGAUCUCGAAUUUAAAAAAUCUAUGGUGUCUUUACGAUUUGGUUUUAGGAGGAGCAAUUUGGGGUUUUGCCUAUGGGGGGGUAUACAAUGAAUCUGUUUGGUUGGAUGGUGAAGCCGCAGGAAUUUUCUAGCUUUGUUUGUUUUUAUUUUGAUUUUUCUUGGUGCUUAAAUCCAAAGGCUUUAUGUUGAAGAGUGAGAAAGUAUUUGGAAAACAUGUUGUUUAGUUUCAAGAUGUGUUUGUUUGGGAUUUGUGCACGAAAAUCUGGCUGCAACAAGCUAAGCGUUGCACAUAAAAUCUGUUGCAACAAGUUGGGAAGUUCUUGGCUUGUUGCAGUAGCGUAGCAAAGUUAUGUUUUCCUUUUGCUAGUUUCAAUUUUGAAGCUUAUAAUUUCCUUGGUUUUCGGCUAGUACGUCAUGAGUAUGUUUGCCGCGAGUUGAUGUUUCUUUCUGCUGUGAUUUUUCAUUUCGUUUGUAUUGUAGAGUUUCUGGUUUUUGUAGUGCCUUCUUGAUGCAUGUCAUUUCCUGCACUUCCUGUUGCAUUUCUUCCUUAUCCGCUGGUGUGAGCCAAUUCAAAUGCUCUGCUACAAUUCUGCAAUAAGAGUUCGUGUCUCUACUAGUUGGUAGUUGAUAGGCAAAGUUUUAGUUUUUGGUGAACUUAUUUGCAUGGAUAGAGAGUUGCGGCUAGAAAUUACAGCAACCUUAGAAACGAAAAAUGCAGCGAGCUUGCACUUUCCGUUUGCAGAAAUCUUCUUGAGUUUGCAUGAAAGAUUGCUGGAAUUUACCUUAUCUCAUCAUAAUUUGUUGGCUUGUUGAAUUCUGUGUUAGUUUUUAGUUUAAUGCCGAUGGCUUUGAUUGAUUGAUGAGAUGUUAGUUGCAUAUUAGGAUUGUAUUUGAGAAGUUUAGCAUGUUGCAGAUGAAAGGAACCAGCAAAACAAAGAGAUUUACGUAGCAUGCAUGAAAUAUAUUCUAAAAUUUGCACUUUAACCCCUCAAGUUUCCUUUUGUUCCCCUAUGACCCACAAAUUUGAGAAAGCUAAUCAAUUGGGUCCCUGUGAUUUUUGCAGCAGUGCAUUAUGGCCCAAUUACAUUCCAUGUUCUUGUAAUUAGGUCCUAAGAUAUUUGCAUUUGAACCAUUCCUCCACCUUUUCUUUGCCUUUGGACCUUUGAAGUUCCUAAAAGUGUUUGAUUAAGCUUGAAUGCUUGGCUAGUGUUCACAUUUGAGUCCUUGGUAGCCUCAACUUUGCAAUUCGAUUGCUCGUUUGCUCUCAUUUGUUUAGGUGGUACUUAAUUGCAUGAAUUUGUGAACUUUGUGUCUAAAUGAGCUUGUGUUUGCCUAUUUUCUUUAAUUUUCCCAAAUAAAUUGGUACCUUGACCAUUUCUUUUAUUUUGGAGGAUGAAUAAGUGAUUUCACUCCAUUUAAGGCAUCAACUCAAGGGAGGUAUAACUUUUUUUAUCUUUUUUGUCUCUUCUAUGUGAACCAACGUGCUACGUGAGAAAUACAUGUCUACUUUGCUUUCCUAGCUUUUCUUUAAUUCCUUUUCCUUAUGUCAUUUACUUUUUGUUUUCAUUAAGUUAUUCUUUAAUGGGGUAUGUGUACACCUCUUGGCUUGUAAUAGAUAAGGCUGUGGCGAGCAAUUUGGUCCAUUUUCCCCUUCCCCUUUGUGUUUAGUUAGUGAAUGUAAUAGGUUCAUUAGCUUGGUUGCAUGCCUACGUGUUAAGUGUUACUCGUUUUAUUAGGCUCAUUGCAUCUAGUCGAGCAUGUCUAAAUGUUAUGUGCUACGUGUUUAUGAGUAUUUGAUAUGUCUACUUGCUUUCCAUAGUGUGGAUGAAUGGAAUGGGAUGAAUGUACGUCACCACACUAGUUCCAACGCUAGUUGUGGCUUCUUUUAUCGUUUCCACUAGUCCAAUGCUAGUAGAAAUUCAUAGAAAGGGCUAGUCCAACGCUAGACCAAUAAGCUUUUUCCUUUCUUUUCAUUAGUGCAUCAUUUGCUUGUUCACCACAUACCAUGCAACUUUCUUUAGUUUUAUCAUUGGGCAUGCCCUCAAACCCCUUUUCCCUCCAUUUUUAGGAUUUUUUGCAUCUCAUGCUAGCUAUAGGGUUCAUUUUGCUUGAGUGUCCCCUUCCGAUAAGGAAAACGAGCGAGUGUGGCUACUCGAUAGCCUUAGCACGCUAGUCUUGCCUUCUAAUCAAAGGGAAAAUAGAAGUCGAAAUGUUAGGAGUCAACCCGUACCCGACUUGUUGCAUUCCUCUAGGGUCAUACUUUCAUUUUUAUCACCUACAUACUCUUUUAACCACAUUUUUUCACAUUUCUCAAACCAUACUUUCUCACUACAUGUUUCCUAUCACGCGCUCAUUUUCACCUCACAAAUGGAAUUCCACUUUACCUUAUAUAUCUAUUAUUCUAUUUUCAAACACUUGCACACAAACACUUGGAUUUUUCAUACAAUUUCACACAUGCACCUUUUCAUACACUUGCACACAAACACUUGGAUUUUUCAUACAAUUUCACACGUUCACCUUUUUAUACACUUGCCACACUUGCACUUUAGCCAUCAUUUGCAUUAAUCGACCUCUAUAAGGUUUUCCUUUAUUGGCCGCCACAAUUCAUGUGGUUGGGACCAAAAACCUUGCAAGAGACAUUUUAGAAUUUAGGUUUGCAUUUUUUCUUCAACUUGCAUUCAUGUAGUGCAUCCAAAUGUAAUAAAUUCUUUGGUUAAAACAAGAAAAUCUUUGAUUAAAUCAUGCAACUAGCCUUGGCUAGGUCAAAGGGGUGCCUUGGAUUUUAUCCUUGCCUUCCCCUUUGUCAAAUGUGACUCCCGAACCUUUUUCUUUGGUUUACGUGGACUAGGAGUCGUUUAAAAGGGGUUUCUUACUACUCUUUCCCAUUUUUUCCUUUAAAAAUUCAUUUUUAGGUGACUUGGUACACCUUAACUCAUUACCAAGUGGCGACUCCGUUUUUUAUUUCAAAAACCCUUUUUAAACCAUAAUUUUUGGGUCAAAUCGUCGCACUCUCAAAACCCCCAUUUAGACCCAUUUUCCUUUUAAAUCACAAUUCAUUUUCCAAAUCACAAAUUGAAUCAAAAAAUACAUUUUUAAACCAUUUAUUUAUUUAUCAAAAAAUGGGGCGCAACUGUUGGCGACUCCACUGGGGACAUUCGAGAGUCCGAGCAAAUUUGAUUUAAUCAACCUUUUUCUUCUUUUAACCUUUUCAUAUAUCACAUUUGGGUGUUUUUUAGGGUUGCAUUUUUUUUCCUUUUUUAGGAUUUUGCAUCACUCGCGUCUCAAAUUACUCCCUUGCUCACGAAUGUAUGAUUGUUUGAUUGAAUGUAUGUUUACUUACUUAUCUCGCGCUUGCAUUGCAUUUGGGGGGGGUGUGUGUCACCUUUUAGAGUCUCGCGUGGUUCUCGACCCUUCCCUCAAAAUAGGGAGCACUUCAUACGUGCACGUUUAUUUAUUGUUAUCCCAUUUUAUUUUAUUUUCGUGGGCGUUUCCCACACCGCCUUGUAGGAUUAGGAUCGAUCGCCUUAGGUAGGCGGAUGGUGUGCGCUGCGCCCAUAGCGCUACCUAAGGGAUCACUCGAGCCACCGACCAAGGGCCUUGGAGUGAUGACCCUUGCCUUUAGGUCUGAAGGUUUGGGAGCCGAAGCCUUAUCGAGUCUAGUCGCAUUAGUGAACCCCAACCUCAUGCAUCCAUGUUAGAAUUUUCCUAGGUUAGAGUCAGCCUCACCCUCUUUUAAGCACAUUAGGCACGAGGGAAGGGGUUCCACCCCUUUUACUUGUUUUAUUGUAUUUCCUUUCUUAUUUGCUCCCAAUGUGUUAUGUGUACUAUCAAUUGUGCUAACCAUUCUUUUUGUUUUCUUGGCUUGCAUUCAUGUGCCUUAGCAAUAAGAGGCCUCUUUGGCACUCUUUUAGUGACUUACCCACUAGAUAGCUCACAUGUUUAAAUUUCAGUCAUUAUGCUUAAUUUUUAAUAAGUACAUUUCAUUUUAGACCUCUUCCCCCUGAUGCAUUAUUUAUGCCCUUUAGGCCAUAUUUGUUGCAUAUUUACAUUGCUUUAAUAAAUGGCAUCACGCAUAAACCAUAGAAAGGGAAUACCAUGUGACGGCCCCACCUCCCCCUAAGGCGAACCAAAGGGUUCGGCGAGUCGCCUGCCCGGCUCUCGGCCGGGACUCAGUCGUUCCUUAAUCAAAUCCAGAAUAAAUCACAAGAAUAAAUAGGGCAGCAAUCCAAACUUAAAGCGGAACUUAUAUAUAUUGCUAUCUCAAAAGGAAGUACAGCCAUCAAAUGUACAAAGGUUCUAACUUCACCAUACAACCAGCCCGUGCCAAGCACUAGGGCGAGAACCAUUACAAAAGAAACAAAUACCUAGACUAUGCUAGUCUAUGCUCUCAUCCUGCUCGCCGUCCCCUGUUAAGGAAAACAAAACUAAAGGGGUGAGCUAAAAGCUCAGUGAGGUUCCGAACAGAUAAUCAACAAUCAAUUCAAUACAUUAAACAUGGAGUAUUAAUAAUUCAAGAAACAUUUACAAUGGAAAGCGAUAGUAACAUUCAUUAAAAGGAUACGGGCUCACAUGGAGCUAUUCGUUUGUUCGUUCGUUCCCCUGACAUUUCCCCUUAUUCCUCCAAUCGUUUGAAAAUACAUUUUUUUGUAAGUAGAAUCCCUCGUUCAUCCUUUUGUUCGUUCAUCCCUUUUCCAGACGUUGACCGGACUCCACCCAUCCGACCAUUGGCGGACUCCACCCAUCCGGACGUAGCCGGACUACAAGGUAAUACUCGAGUAUACCAAAUUCACCCAGGGUCACCAUAUCGCUCGACCGAGUCCGCUUCUGGCUCGAGUCGAUCGGUAACGAAGGGCAGGGCCCAAUUCAGCCAAAAGGCUUACAUCAUGCGCAACUAAUGUUUCCAUCAUUAAAUCAUUGAAAAUUUCACGUUUCAUUAAGGUCGAGCGCGAUAAAGUACACGCUCGCCUAGAAAACUCGUUUUAGAAAUCCUUGAAAGCACUUAACACAUUAUCAAACACAAACAACAACAAAGUCAUGAAGUCCGGGAGAAUAUAACAAACAAGGAACACUCACCUAGAUAUGCAAAAUAACGUGCAAAAUAUCCUUCCGGAUAUUACCCUUAGUCACCAAUGAAACCUAAGGUUGAACAAGAGAACAUAUUACAGUUUAUCGAGCAAAACAUUUAAGGGAAACAAAGAAACCCGACUAAUUAGGAGUAAAACGUGUAAAGAUGACUUUCAAGUAAGAAGAGGGUUGUUUGAACCCCAGGAUGAAAAAUCAUGUUUUAAAAUGGAAAACCGGUCAUGGUAUUGGCCUAACAAAAGUAUACAAGUUCCAAUAGAAACCUAGCCCUCGAGCGAAAAUUUGGGCAGCACGCCCUUUGUGUUUACCUAAUUUUCCAGCCAUUUUGGCUUCAUUAUUUUUCCUCAACCACAACCCAACAUCACACAUAAGCAAUUCAAGUCAAGAGCCGUUCCAUAGGCUCACAAUAUCAUAAGAAUAAGAAUUACGACAAUCACAAGUGUAGAAAUUCAACUUAGCACAAGACAGAUUUGAUGUACGAAUGCGGAAAUAACAUUUCUGAAGCUACGCUUAUCGGAUUGAGACGAAACCUAUGCCGUUUUGAAGCUAAGACACAGAGCUACAACAUUCAUGAAGGUCACUUAGUCCAGUUCCUAAUGUAACUUAGUCAAAGUCUCAAAUUACUAAACCAGAAACCAAUUUGUCGGCUGUUUAAACGCAGAACACUGUAAUGGACAUAUCUCAGAGUACACAAGUCCGAAUCAGGUGUUCUUAGAGGCAUUUGAAAUAUAAUUCAGAAUAAUACAACUUUAAUGUUUUGGCAAAAAGCUAAAUCAGAAUGGAUCCUAGUCGAAAAACGUGAUAAACUGGACUUAACUGAUCACACGGACUGCUUGGGAAAUACUUAAAACAGUAAGGGUAUUUUGGACUUUUCACGUCCUACGUUGCUCCGAUUGAGCUGAAAUUUUGUAGGCACCUAUAAAAUACCAUUCUCUACAACUUUCAUUCUUUGACCUAAGGCCAAUUCGGCCUCUAACAUGAGGUUACAAAACCGGACAGAAUGGAAGCAGAAUUUUCCAGAAAUCUGGAAUUUUUUGUAAACAAUGGAACUUUCUCUUUUCUGGUUCUAAUCACCACCAAACAACCUUAUAUAACCUUAAUUACAACAUUUACAAUCAUACAACAAGUUUAGGCAGAGAGCUAUGAAACCCUAGCUUGCUUAUUCAUCCCAAAAUUCAUCACAACCACUUGCAUAAUCAUGAAAUUAAGCCAAAACUUAAGCUAAAAAUCAUCUUAAACCCAAAAUUUAAGCAACAAGGAUCAUGACCAGAUUUGUACCUCUAAAGCAAGACUUGGAUGAGUGAUAGUUCACUCCCUUUGAAAUUUCUUGGUUCCUCAAGCUUCCCAACUCACACUUAGUACUUUAAUCGGUUUAGAAUUGGAUUUGUUACUUGGGUUGAAGCAAAUCAAGAAGAUGGAAUGUUUUUUUCUUGCUCUCACUUUCUCACACUCUUUGGUUCGGCCAGCAGCAGAAAUAUGGAGAGGAAAGGUGAAAAAAUUGGUUAAGUAAGAAGCCAAAGUGUCUUGGUCAAGAUGCUCUUAGGUGGCGACACUUGUCGCCACCACCACCUUUCUUUUUUUCUCUUUCUUUUCCUUCUUUUCUAGCCACUAGUAUUGGUCAGCCUUAGCUGUAAUAUAAGAAGAUAUUUUGCUCAAGUAUCAAUGAACUUGUAGGGUAAGAAAGUGGUGGUCAAGUGGUGCGUUCAACCGGUAAUGCGCGGGACCCGCCGGUUCGCGCCGUUUUUCUUAAAAACACCCGUACUAGGGUUUUUACUUCCCAUUUACUAACCUUAUCUCAUUGCUCCUAAUCACAUAUUAUUUCUCACUUAAAAGUCACUUUUAAUCACCAAAUUUGAUCCUUGCUCCAUACCGAAAUUUCAUCCGGCGAAAAAUCGCGAAAACCCUAAUUUUGCUCCAAUUUUGAAAACGAAGAGUGAAACCCUACUUUCUAGAUUCAUUUGCACUUAUUGGAGAAUGAUUGGGUAGUAGGUCUAUAAUAAAGGAAUAAUUUUCAAAUAAAAGGGUAUUUUUGAGAAAAAUACAAGAAAUUUGCGAGUCCUCACAUACCACAUAGGGAAUCCCGUGGUUAGGAAUAAGCCACCCAUGUCUCGGAUAUAUAAUCCAAAGAGACUUGCACGUUUACAUUUUGUACCAUCCAAAGGGGUAGUGCACAAGGUAGGGUAGGAUCCGAUCAUUUUCAUAAAGCGAUCUUUGGAAUAUGAGCGUCUAAUAAUCACUUUUUGGCCAUUUUAUCAAAAUUGGUAAAAUUCCCUUGCGUAAAAGGACAUUAAUUUGAAGAAAAUUCACAAAUGAUUCCUCUUGUUGAGACGAUGAAUAAAUUGAGGCCAAAUCGUGAUUUUAGAAGGCUCAUAGACUACUUUUCUGAAACCACCAAUGGUCGGCCGAUCCAUUUUGUCAAUUCAUAAUCAAUUUUGGAUAAACCAUCUUUUGACCAAUUUACCCUUUUUAGGGUCAUCGGUCGAUUUUGAAUAAAUCGUCAAUUCAUUUGACCAAUUUACCCUUUUUAGGGUCAUCCGGUCGAUUUUGAAUAAAUCAUCAAUUCAUUUGAUCAAAUUACCCUUUUUAGGGUCGUUUGACCAAUUUACCCUUUUUAGGGUCAUCCGGUCGAUUUUGAAUAAAUCGUCGAUUCAUUUGACCAAUUUACCCUUUUAGGGCGAUCUGGUCAAUUUUGAAUAAAUUCUCAAUUUCAUUCAAUUCAUUUGACCAAGUUCCUUUUUUAGGAUGAUCCGGUCAAUUUUGAGUAAGUUAUCAAAUGUCACCCAAUUCAUUUGACCCGUUUCCCUUUUUAGGGUAAUCCGGUCGAUUUUAAAUAAAUUGUCAAUUUCAUUUGACCAAUUAGGAUUUCAAUGUCGAAUUUCAAAAUGGAAAACCUAGUCGAUUUUGAGAAAAACAUCCAUGGCAUCCAGCCAUUUGAUCAGUUGGAGUUUUGACCGUGCAUCACUGAAAAUUUUAUCAACGAAUUUCAAUCUCUUUGAUAGGAAGUUCGUCAAGGUCAAACCCGUGCGUUUUUUGCAAAUUCUUGUAUCGAUCAAAAGUGAUCAAUCCCUUCGGACGAGGUCCUCAUUUUGACCAACGUCUCUUCUCAUUCCAAUGGGCCAAAUUUUUCAAAUUAUUUUUCACUCCAUGAGUUGAUCGGAUCCAUCAGGUAUUGUAUAGUGCCUAUUCUAGCGGAUUGCAUUUUCAUGCUAGGCCUACCCUUGGCACAAAAAGGGUUCCCCCAUAGGACAUGCAUACCGAUUUUGCAGUUUUGCCUACUAACUCGGGGUAUUUUUCUUUUGUUUUCCCCCUCCCCUGCAUUCAUAAAAAUGUUUCAAUAAGACGAAAAUAUUCUUCUAUAUCUGAUGAUAAUUUUAAUCCAAUAAGGUUUGAAAACUGCAAGUGUUAUUUGAUUCUUGGGCAGAUCUUAUAAUGAAAACACAAAAGAUCUAUCUGGAAGCUCUACGCUAAAGCAUCUGAGAGAUUUUGUAAUUAUUUCCAAAGGAAAAUUUUGUAUAUUUGAUUUGUUAAUACAUUUUGUUCCAAAAGAAAAGGAGACAAAAAGUGUAUAUGUGGAGCUCUUUACAAGUUUCCCUCUUCUCAUUUGUAUCAUAAUUGAAUGAGAAAUUUUGUUUCAAACUUUUUCAACAAUAAAAUUUUUGGAUAAUUAUUGUUUUGUGUAUAUUUAUGUGCAUUUCAUUCUUUAUUCUUACUCAUUGGAGAUUUCAUGAUGAAUUUUGAGAAAUAAGACCCAAUUUGAGAUUUUUCAACCUAUAGCCUGAAUUUCACAAGUAUAUGCUUCCUAAAAUCCUUACACUCGAUUGGCAAUCCGAGCCAUACAAUAAGGGUGCUCAGGAAAAGAGGUGAAUGGUCACUCAAAAGGCCCAAUGAGAUACCUUCACUUAACCCAAAAAUAAAAUCAGUCACAUUGAUUGAUAAAUUGCAAAUUGGGGCCAUCCUUGCUUGAAAAAUGCCUAUUGGUUUAACCAGAUUCAAUUCACAUCUAAGUGAAAGCAAAAAUGUGCAUUACUCUUGUUUGUUUUGAAAAUUUGGAAUGAUACUUCGAGCAUUCUUUUCUCUACCUAUACACAUUUUAUCAUUUUGCUCUCCCAUUUGAGCCUUUGAAAGAAUAAUUUCGUUUCAAAUAAGAGCCCUAAUGAUCACUACCCUAUAUUGGAAAAUUUUUAAAUAUCCAAGAAGGGGAAUGGAUUUUCAAUGACCAUCUGGUUACUUUGGUUGUCAUGAAGUGUGAGAAUGAUACUUUGGCCGUCGUUUCCACAACCUAAACACUGAUCAUCCCUUGCAUCCUCAUUUGAGCUAAAAAUUGGUGAUUCUUUUCGAGUGCACAUAUGAUCGCACCCCACAUUGGGGAAGGAGAUUGGGGAAUUUUUUAAAAAAAAGAAGGAGGAAAAGCAAAAAUGCUAGAAAAAGGGGAAAGGGAACCGCAAAUUGGGGAAAUUUGAUUCCACUUGGGGUCCAAUUUUGGAAAAAGAAAAGAAAAGGAAGGGUUUUGUUCGACGAACCACUUAUGGAGAGUCUUCCUCAGUCAAUUAAUUCAGAUACAUGCCAAAAAUUUCGCAUUAAUGAAAGUUUUCUUUCAGAGUUAUUGUAAGGAACGGAAUAAAAGUCAGGCCCUCUUCUUUUCCAAUCGGACAUUCUAUCCCUAGUUAUCCUUUUGAGCCUUCAGAAUAAAAUACUUCAUUUGGCAACCCCUGAGAAUCGCAAACCCCACACUGGGGCAAGUUUGAGUUGAAAAGGAAAACUUCAAAAAGUGGAAAAGUGAAAAGCCACAAAUUCAAAAGACAAAAGAAGAAAAGAGAACCUCAGUUCACAAAUAAACUGGGGCAAAUUUUUGAAAAGUUCAAAAAAAAAAAUGGCAAAAGGCCGAAAAAUCAAAAGAAAAUGAAAGAGAAAAAGCCUCAAUUGAGCAUAAACUGGGGCAAAUUCUGAUUUAACCCUAAAAUAGGGUUGCGCGCAACAAUGCGAUCUCAGAUUCUUCAAACCAUUUUUAAAAUCUGCCUUCAAGCCUUAACUUUUCUAAAACACCAUACCUGACCCCAUUACAAAAAUCGAAAGUCCUGACUUCUGUUCUUUGCAAUGGCCCUGUCAAGAAAAUUUCUGAUGCCGGAAAAUUUUAGCUGUAUUUCUGAAUUGCUUGAGUAUGAGGUUGACGCUACUCACCAUAAAAAACCCACUAGAUCAAAGAAAAGAAAACGGAAAAGCAAAAAGGAAAAAUGAAAUACAAAAGAUUCGAUGGUGAAGUCCCUAUUGAGUGAUCAAACAAAGUUCAGAAUCUUCGAGUUCAAAAUAGGGGCAAUUUUGGAAAAAUGCGAUCUGUGGUGCAAUGUCCUUGAAAGUCUUAUCCUUCAACUAUCGUUUCAAACCACAUUACAAGCUAAUAAAGUCCAUCGUUGACUUAUUCCUUCAUGACAAUCCAAAGGGAGGAUCAUGCUCAUAAGAAAUUCAUCAAAUCAUUUGUGAUCAUAAGGGUAUAUGUGAGAACCCGUAAUCUUUCCAUUUUCUAGGUUUUAUUAUAUUUCCAGGUUUUCUUAUUUUCAAUGGUUUGUUUUCUGCACUUUCUGUAUCCGGAAAAUUUUCUAGAUAAUUUUUAUGAGUAAAUAUAAGUUUUAGAUGAUUUUUCUAGCAUUGGUGAGUUUUUAGAAAAUUAAGAAUAAAUAGUGGACGUGGGACCCACUAGUGCGAAAAGUUCGGAAAAAUUCGGCCAAUAAGGUUAAGUUUCGGAUACUGUGAAAAAUUUAUCGGGUGUUAAGAGAUAAGUAGUGGGUGUGAAGUGAUUGAUGUGAGAGAGAAAAGAAAGAUAGGAAUGCAUUUAAUGAGGUGACAAGUGUCACAUUCUCAUUGGUUGGACUUUAAGAAUUACUAUUCACUUUCUUGACUUUUUUGACCAAAGGAUUAAAUAUCAAAAAAAUGCACAAAAAUUGCCAUUUUCUUACCUCUUAUGGCCGGCCCUCUCUCAAGCUCAAGAAGGAAGAAUUUCAUCAACUCUCAAGCUUCCAUAUGGUUCAAUCCACCAAAAUAAAUUGCCUAUACUAGAUUCUACUCCAUAUUAUCCUUCCAUUAGGUGUUAGUAAGUUGAUUAGUGAAGUUUGUUUGAAGGUCUAAGGUGGCCAACAUCCCUCUCUCUCUUGAUUUCUUGGUAAGUGAUGCUUGAAACACCCUACUACAUCUAAUAAUGCUUAUUUUGUGCUUAAUGGGGGCAUGAGAGAAGGAAUAUAUGAUUUGUUUCUUGAUUUGGCUUGUUUUGGUGAAGUUUUUAUUUUAUUGGGAAUUUUUCUGGUUUAAUAUGAUCUUGAUGUUGGGGGCUUGUAUGAUGAAUUGUAAUGGUUGGAAAUGGCUCUAGUGGAUGUGAAAUGUGGUUAAAUGCAAUCAAUUUUGGAUUUGGUGUGAAAUUUGAAAAGUUAGGGUUCUUGAACCCCAAUUCUGUCCGGUUUUAGAUCACUGGGUUAGAGGCCGAAUUAGACUUUGCUCAAAACAUGAAAGUUGUAGGUAUUGAUGUGUUUGAGGUGCCUGUAAAAUUUCAGGGCAUUUAGAUUAGUGUAGAGUGAGUUAUGACGAAAUUACUGUAGCUGUUCUGCUUUGGACAGAAUGCGAAAACUGCGAUAGUAAUUGGCCAUUUUGACUGGAAUUGGUUUGGAUUCUGGAGUUGGUGUCUUCUGAUGAAAUGUAGCUGGAUGUCUUAGCUAACUUAUGCCUUUGGAAUUUCGGCAUUUGGACUUGUAUGGACUGAGAUAUACUGAUUACAGUUUUUUGUGUUUUGUGAACCUGUUUUAGGAAUUCUGGGUUAGUAUUUGGCAUAUUUGACCUAGUUGUGUUACGAACUGGAUUGAGUGGUCUUCUACAUUAUUGUAGCCCUGUUUCAUAGCUUCGAAACGGUGGGUCUUACACCCCCAUCCGAUAACCGUAGAGAAUUUGACGCCAUUACCGCAUAAUGAGUGUAAAACAGUUUUCUAUUUGGGGCCAAGACUAAGGCCAUUUUCUAAUUUCUGGUUUGCUAUUAUGCUUAUAUAUGUAUAUGAAACCCUAUUGGGGUUGUGAUUGGCAUGGCUUUAUGAAACCCUAUUGGUUGGCAUGGUUUUAAGGCUUACUCUUAUUCCGGUCAUUUUCUAGCUAACUUUUGUACUUGUACUACUUUGAGCCUAGUGAACGGCUUUUGGGAAUGAGAUGACUUUUGUGUGAGGUGUUGGGACUGAUUUGAGGAAAUAAUGAAGCCUUAAUGGCUGGAAAAGUAAGAAAUUUAGGGGAAGUGCUGCCCGAUUUUCUAGGCCGUUUGGUUCUUUAAGUUGGAUUUGCCUUUUGAUGGAAAUGAAGGGCUUUUGGGUUGUUUGCGCCUAGGUCUUGAUGUUAUCUUUUUGUUUUCAAGAAAAUCAUAUUUUUGCACCCUUGCAUUAGUAUGUCUCACUUGUGCAUUCCGUUUAUUCGAUUUUAGAUAUGAAACCUUCAAUUGGUUUAUUUUGAUUAUUUUAGGGUUUCUUGGCGAUUAAGGCCAAUCUGAAGUGAAACUUUUGAAGUUGAAUCGGUGAGUGUACCACUGCCUGCUACCCUUUAUGUGAAAUAUCUGAAUAUCUGAAUACUUGACUUAUGACUAUUGAAGCCAAGUACUGCUUUGAUAAAGUGGAGGCGAGGGUGUACUUUAUCACACUCGUUCUCUGGUCUGUUCAUAUUCCAAUUCUGAACGUCUAUCUGAAUCUGUUAUCUGUAUCUGUAUCUGAAACUGUACUGAAUCUGUUAUCUGUAUCUGAAACUGUAUCUGUUCUGACGUCGUUUGGAAGCUUGUGUCCAACGACCUUUCUGUGACCUAUGAGCUCAAAUCCUGUGGCUAAGUUAUUCAAGUCGGGCCGGCAAGGGCCUGGACGAUUAGAUAACGAACCACGGUAGUCUGUUCGGGGAUCUUUGGGUAUUGAGACCCUUGGGUUCCGGUAUACUCGAGUAUUACCAUUUCUGUUACUGAUACGGUGAGCGGGCCCGGUAAAGGGGUGUUUGGUGGACGGAAUUUGGAGUGAAGAGGGGUCUACGGACGCUUUGGUUCUAUAUACGUUGACGGAGGGUCAACCGGUCUGGAUCAAGUACUGAGCUGGAAAUUUGGCUCCUGAGAGCCACCCGUAUCCUUCUGAUUUGAAUCAGUGGUUCCGUUGCUUUAUAUCUGGCAUGUGUAUCUGAUUUGUUAAACAUGAAAUGCCAUGAUUUUAUUGCUAUCUGUUUGGUACCUCAUUGAGCGCAAGCUCACCCCUUUCUGUUCCCUUUUGUUUUCCUUACAGGAAAAUAAUCACUUUUGGGAGCUCAUACGUGUUGGUUGCCAAAUUGAGCCAUGUAUAUGUCUAUUUUGAAUAACUCAUCUCAUGAAACCCUAAUGUGUAUUGGGUUCAUCUUCUGAAUGGCAAACCGAAUAUGUGUAUACCAUAUGUAUAGUUUUGACAUGCCAAGUGUGGUUGUAAAUGUUGAAUUGCUAUGUAUUACUGUUUGGUGGGUUCUCGGUUUCCCCUAUUCCAGGCACUAUUCAUCGUUUUCCUUUUGCUUAUUAUUUUGUUAUUUUGGUUCUUGUGGCUUGUCCGAGCGCACUUUUGCAUUUCCGAAACGUUUUAGAACGCGUGUAACCGCUCCGUAGUCCUGGCGAGAGCUGGGCAGGCAGUCCGCUAACCCCUUUGGUUCGCCUUAGGGGAAGGUGGGGCUGUUACAGGUGGUAUCAGAGCCUGCUUCGCGUGGUCUCUGCGCGGAGUGAGCCUGGACUAUGUGGUGAAUUGGUAUGAAGGAAUAAGUGCUCGAUCGAGCCUAAGUUCUGAAUUGUGAAUGUUAUAGGCCUUAACUUUUCUUGUGGUAUCUGAGGAACAUAGAUCGGUACGUCUGGUGGGAAUUUCGAUUGUAGAUGGUUUACUCUUGGGACUGGCCAGCUCGAGAGGUGAAUUGUCUUAUUUCGGAUUCUUGUGCCUGAGUACUUCAGAGUGGAGGCGGUGUUAAGUAUGUGGAAUUUGCAUUUUGGGAACAUGAAUAGGCUUUGUUUGGCUAGAAUGAGUCCAAGAGGUUAUUGGAUAUCUAGUUUGCAUAGUAAGUGACGUGAGGGAUCGGACGGGGUUAUUUUAAUUGGGUCUGGGACUAUAUCGCCUUUACUCUUGAUUUGCUUGAUACCCCUAUGACAUGACAGUGGUUUGGGUAUUGUGCAUAGGAUUAUCUGUCUAAUUGGCAUGUGUUGGUGUACUUGGUUAUCCGUUUUCUUGAUACAUGGCGUGUUAUAUGUGUAUAUGUCUUUGGUGUAAUUGGUGUGCUAGAAUUCGAUUACUUUUGUCACUUUACUGUAGUUAUGCGUUGCAGUACUGUGGGAAAGGGGAAAAAGAAAAGAGAGAGAAAAAAAAUAUAUAUAUAUAUGUGAGGAAGAUGUCGUCGUGGACGUGGAACUAAAUGAGGCCAGGAAUCAAGAAAAGAAAAGGGAAACAAUAGCUGGACAAGGACCGGGAGUGCCACUUGUACUUAAGAAUGUAUUAUGACCCAUUGUUUUGCCCGGCAGGCUAGCAUCCGAGUUCCAGCACUUCAGUAAGAUGACACAUUGGGUUGAUCCGUAUCAGGAAAUUUUGGUUCUCCGAGAUGAAUUAGAGGUUCAAAGGAGGCUGACCGAGUACUGGGAAAGGCAAUGGAAGCAAGAGUAUUCGGAGAAACUUGAACUCUUACACCAAAAUAUGGAGUUAAAGAGGAAAUACGAAGUAUUUCCAAGGAGACCGUAGCAAUGGCACAAGGUAACACAUCUAUGGGAACGCCAGAGGAAGCUCAAAGGACGGGAAUUGCAAAGCCACAACUGAAGAUCUUUCAUGCAAAGAAAAAGGGUAAAGCUGGUAGAUCAAUUGUGAAGAAGGGCCGUGGAGCGAGUGGUGAGAUAAUUUGUGGAUAUUGUAGAAAAUCCAAUCAUAUUGAAGUGGAUUGCUGGAAAAAGGGGAGGAGAUGUCUGUGUUGUGGGAGCGCCGAGCAUUUGGUUGCUAAUUGCCCGGGGGUUAUUGCACGAAAAGAAAGGAACCAGGAGCCAACCAAGACCGACCCUGGCCCGUCAAGUGGAAAAGGGACUAAAAUGAAGAACCUUAUUUCUUCUGACUCUGAAGACGGAGAAGGUACAGGCCAUUGGUUACUUUAAAUUGUGAAGGUAAAAUUUCGAGGGCGAAAUUUCUUUAAGGGGGAGAGAGUGUGAGAACCCGUAAUCUUUCCAUUUUCUAGGUUUUAUUAUAUUUCCAGGUUUUCUUAUUUUCAAUGGUUUGUUUUCUGCACUUUCUGUAUCCGGAAAAUUUUCUAGAUAAUUUUUAUGAGUAAAUAUAAGUUUUAGAUGAUUUUUCUAGCAUUGGUGAGUUUUUAGAAAAUUAAGAAUAAAUAGUGGACGUGGGACCCACUAGUGCGAAAAGUUCGGAAAAAUUCGGCCAAUAAGGUUAAGUUUCGGAUACUGUGAAAAAUUUAUCGGGUGUUAAGAGAUAAGUAGUGGGUGUGAAGUGAUUGAUGUGAGAGAGAAAAGAAAGAUAGGAAUGCAUUUAAUGAGGUGACAAGUGUCACAUUCUCAUUGGUUGGACUUUAAGAAUUACUAUUCACUUUCUUGACUUUUUUGACCAAAGGAUUAAAUAUCAAAAAAAUGCACAAAAAUUGCCAUUUUCUUACCUCUUAUGGCCGGCCCUCUCUCAAGCUCAAGAAGGAAGAAUUUCAUCAACUCUCAAGCUUCCAUAUGGUUCAAUCCACCAAAAUAAAUUGCCUAUACUAGAUUCUACUCCAUAUUAUCCUUCCAUUAGGUGUUAGUAAGUUGAUUAGUGAAGUUUGUUUGAAGGUCUAAGGUGGCCAACAUCCCUCUCUCUCUUGAUUUCUUGGUAAGUGAUGCUUGAAACACCCUACUACAUCUAAUAAUGCUUAUUUUGUGCUUAAUGGGGGCAUGAGAGAAGGAAUAUAUGAUUUGUUUCUUGAUUUGGCUUGUUUUGGUGAAGUUUUUAUUUUAUUGGGAAUUUUUCUGGUUUAAUAUGAUCUUGAUGUUGGGGGCUUGUAUGAUGAAUUGUAAUGGUUGGAAAUGGCUCUAGUGGAUGUGAAAUGUGGUUAAAUGCAAUCAAUUUUGGAUUUGGUGUGAAAUUUGAAAAGUUAGGGUUCUUGAACCCCAAUUCUGUCCGGUUUUAGAUCACUGGGUUAGAGGCCGAAUUAGACUUUGCUCAAAACAUGAAAGUUGUAGGUAUUGAUGUGUUUGAGGUGCCUGUAAAAUUUCAGGCAUUUAGAUUAGUGUAGAGUGAGUUAUGACGAAAUUACUGUAGCUGUUCUGCUUUGGACAGAAUGCGAAAACUGCGAUAGUAAUUGGCCAUUUUGACUGGAAUUGGUUUGGAUUCUGGAGUUGGUGUCUUCUGAUGAAAUGUAGCUGGAUGUCUUAGCUAACUUAUGCCUUUGGAAUUUCGGCAUUUGGACUUGUAUGGACUGAGAUAUACUGAUUACAGUUUUUUGUGUUUUGUGAACCUGUUUUAGGAAUUCUGGGUUAGUAUUUGGCAUAUUUGACCUAGUUGUGUUACGAACUGGAUUGAGUGGUCUUCUACAUUAUUGUAGCCCUGUUUCAUAGCUUCGAAACGGUGGGUCUUACACCCCCAUCCGAUAACCGUAGAGAAUUUGACGCCAUUACCGCAUAAUGAGUGUAAAACAGUUUUCUAUUUGGGGCCAAGACUAAGGCCAUUUUCUAAUUUCUGGUUUGCUAUUAUGCUUAUAUAUGUAUAUGAAACCCUAUUGGGGUUGUGAUUGGCAUGGCUUUAUGAAACCCUAUUGGUUGGCAUGGUUUUAAGGCUUACUCUUAUUCCGGUCAUUUUCUAGCUAACUUUUGUACUUGUACUACUUUGAGCCUAGUGAACGGCUUUUGGGAAUGAGAUGACUUUUGUGUGAGGUGUUGGGACUGAUUUGAGGAAAUAAUGAAGCCUUAAUGGCUGGAAAAGUAAGAAAUUUAGGGGAAGUGCUGCCCGAUUUUCUAGGCCGUUUGGUUCUUUAAGUUGGAUUUGCCUUUUGAUGGAAAUGAAGGGCUUUUGGGUUGUUUGCGCCUAGGUCUUGAUGUUAUCUUUUUGUUUUCAAGAAAAUCAUAUUUUUGCACCCUUGCAUUAGUAUGUCUCACUUGUGCAUUCCGUUUAUUCGAUUUUAGAUAUGAAACCUUCAAUUGGUUUAUUUUGAUUAUUUUAGGGUUUCUUGGCGAUUAAGGCCAAUCUGAAGUGAAACUUUUGAAGUUGAAUCGGUGAGUGUACCACUGCCUGCUACCCUUUAUGUGAAAUAUCUGAAUAUCUGAAUACUUGACUUAUGACUAUUGAAGCCAAGUACUGCUUUGAUAAAGUGGAGGCGAGGGUGUACUUUAUCACACUCGUUCUCUGGUCUGUUCAUAUUCCAAUUCUGAACGUCUAUCUGAAUCUGUUAUCUGUAUCUGUAUCUGAAACUGUACUGAAUCUGUUAUCUGUAUCUGAAACUGUAUCUGUUCUGACGUCGUUUGGAAGCUUGUGUCCAACGACCUUUCUGUGACCUAUGAGCUCAAAUCCUGUGGCUAAGUUAUUCAAGUCGGGCCGGCAAGGGCCUGGACGAUUAGAUAACGAACCACGGUAGUCUGUUCGGGGAUCUUUGGGUAUUGAGACCCUUGGGUUCCGGUAUACUCGAGUAUUACCAUUUCUGUUACUGAUACGGUGAGCGGGCCCGGUAAAGGGGUGUUUGGUGGACGGAAUUUGGAGUGAAGAGGGGUCUACGGACGCUUUGGUUCUAUAUACGUUGACGGAGGGUCAACCGGUCUGGAUCAAGUACUGAGCUGGAAAUUUGGCUCCUGAGAGCCACCCGUAUCCUUCUGAUUUGAAUCAGUGGUUCCGUUGCUUUAUAUCUGGCAUGUGUAUCUGAUUUGUUAAACAUGAAAUGCCAUGAUUUUAUUGCUAUCUGUUUGGUACCUCAUUGAGCGCAAGCUCACCCCUUUCUGUUCCCUUUUGUUUUCCUUACAGGAAAAUAAUCACUUUUGGGAGCUCGUACGUGUUGGUUGCCAAAUUGAGCCAUGUAUAUGUCUAUUUUGAAUAGCUCAUCUCAUGAAACCCUAAUGUGUAUUGGGUUCAUCUUCUGAAUGGCAAACCGAAUAUGUGUAUACCAUAUGUAUAGUUUUGACAUGCCAAGUGUGGUUGUAAAUGUUGAAUUGCUAUGUAUUACUGUUUGGUGGGUUCUCGGUUUCCCCUAUUCCAGGCACUAUUCAUCGUUUUCCUUUUGCUUAUUAUUUUGUUAUUUUGGUUCUUGUGGCUUGUCCGAGCGCACUUUUGCAUUUCCGAAACGUUUUAGAACGCGUGUAACCGCUCCGUAGUCCUGGCGAGAGCUGGGCAGGCAGUCCGCUAACCCCUUUGGUUCGCCUUAGGGGAAGGUGGGCUGUUACAGUAUAACCCUUUUCCACAUGUUUAGCUAUCAUUUCUGUCCAUACGUUACAAGCCUAGAAGCUUGCAUGUUGACUACGUUUUCUUAAGAAAUGAGGGUGACAAACUAUUUGCUUUCACUAAGAUGUGACAUUUGAUGGAUUACAUACAACUGGGGCACAAAAAUGAGACAAAUUCUGACCUCCCAUUUCCUUAGCCAUUUCAAAAAUAAAGUCACUUGAUUGGUCCUGAAAAGAUGAGUCAACCAGAAGUGGUGACCCGUUACCCUAAGCACCAAUGCUAAAAGUGAGGAAGAAAUCUUCUUGAAUUUGGUGUUACUUCGAGGAAUUCAUCAUGAAAUUUGAGUUCAAACUCGACGUUAAGUGUCUUCACAUUAUUAUUCUAAAUUUUAGAAAAGUGCGGUUUUUCUUUGUUCUAAUAAAUGGGAAAUCAUCUGAACAAAUUUUUGCAAUCAAGGGAGCCCACACUGGGGCAAAAAAAAUUUUAUUUGUGAGAUUUCAUGAAAUAAAUCCAUACUGGGGCAAAAAAAUUUUUUUAAUACAUUUGAGGAUAUCAAACCAAUUACGCUGUUCUUUCCAAAUAAGAAAUUUGAAUGCAUGUCAUACUUUGAUGAACCCCUUGUACAGGAAUUCAUGGUUCAAAAUGACAGAAAAGCAUCUGGUGAUGUGGGAGGCCGAUGCCGAAGAAAGAGAAGAAAGAAGGGAAAAGGGCCCUACACUUGGGGCAAAUUAUUUUUGAAAAAUUCUCUAAACAAAAAAAAAACAAAAAUAAAAAAAAAAGUCAAAAAUCAAGUUCAAAUUCUUGUUUCUUGAAAAAUCAAAUUUGAUUUCUUGUGGGCGAAGCUUCAAUGCACGCCGCGCAUCAUUCUGUUCCCCCCUUCUCUUAACAUCUCAAAAAUCUCGUUGGGCCCUGGACUGGGUGCCGCCAACAUCUCAAAAAUCUCGUUAGGCCUGGAUUUCGUGCCGCCAACUUCACAAAAAUCCUAUUGGGCCUGGACUUGGUGCCGCCAACAUCUCAAAAAUUUCGUUAGGCCUGGACUUGGUGCCGCCAACAUCUCAAAAAUUUCAUUGGGCAGGCUCGGGUUAAUCCCACUGACCAAUUCAUCACUGGGGCAAAUUAUUUCCACAAGUCUCUCUCAAUCAAAAAAUCAAAAAAAAUCAGAAAAAAGAAAGAUCAAAAAAUAAAAAAAAAUCAGAAAAAGAAAGAAGAAAAAAUCAGAAAAAAAAAACAAAAAAAAAUCAGAAAAAGAAAAAUCAAAAUCAAAUCAAAUUCAAAUUCCUGUUUCUUGAAAAUCCAUUUUUCAUUUCUUGUUGGCAAAGCUUAGCGUCCGCCGCGCACCCUUAUACUUCUUUUCUUGACAACCACAUUUUAAUUUACUGACUUCAACCGCCGUUAGCAUCGAGUCUAUCUCACUAACGUGCGUGCUUUCACUUCUACCGCCGUUAGCAUCGAGUUUAUCUCACUAACGUGCGUGUUUCAUUUCAACCGCCGUUAGCAUCGAGUUUAUCUCACUAACGUGCGUGUUUCCAUUCUACCGCCGUUAGCAUCGAGUUUAUCUCACUAACGUGCGUUUUUCAUCCAACUGCCGUUAGCAUCGAGUUUAUCUCACUAACGAGCGUGUUUUCAUCCAACUGCCGUUAGCAUCGAGUUUAUCUCACUAACGUGCGUGUUUCAUUUCUACCGCCGUUAGCAUCGAGUUUAUCUCACUAACGUGCGUGUUUCCAUCCUACCGCCGUUAGCAUCGAGUUUAUCUCACUAACGAGCGUGUUUUCACUUCAACCGCCGUUAGCAUCGAGUUUAUCUCACUAACGUGCGUGUUUCACUUCAACCGCCGUUAGCAUCGAGUUUAUCUCACUAACGUGCGUGUUUCAUUUCUCCCGCCGUUAGCAUCGAGUCUAUCUCACUAACGUGCGUGUUUCAUUCUACCGCCGUUAGCAUCGAGUCUAUCUCACUAACGUGCGUGUUUUCAUCCCACCAACACUCCAUCUCACUUCAAUUCAUCUAUUUUUACAUUUCUGUCCAGGUCUAUCCCAAAUUUAAAUUUCUGUCCGGGUCUAUCCCAAUUUUACAUUUCUGUCCGGGUCUAUCCCAAUUUUACAUUUCUGUCCGGGUCUAUCCCAUGGGUCUGUCCUGUUUUAAACUUCCGGUUCGGGUCUAUCCCGUUUUUAAAUUCCUGUUCAAGUCAGUCCUGUUUUAAACUUCCAGUUCGGGUCUAUCCCGUUUUUAAAUUUCUCGUCCGAGUCAGCUUCAUAAAAAAGAGUCAGUCCUCAUGUCAAUAACAGCAGUCAUUCGAGUAGCUGAAGCCGAAUGACCCGGGUAAGCAUUUGGUGUCUACUUCUUUGUCUCAAGUUUUUUCAAAACUCAGACAAAGAGGGGCAAACUGUAGACACCAAAUUUUUGGUGUAAUUUCUUUUACUUUUUAGUUUUUUUUAGUUUCUAGUUUUUAUUUUUAUUUUUAAGUUUUAGCGUAGAAAAAUCAUGAAAAAGAGAAAAAAAGGAAAAUUGUUCACAAAAAUACGUUCAAAUUCAAUUUUUUGGUAUUUUUGGUUUAUUUUCGUUAAUUUAUUUUGGAAAAAAGAAAAAAAAGAAGAAAAAUGAUGGAAAACGAUGAAAAAUGAAAGAAAAGAUCGAAAAUGGUAAUUUUGUUAUUAUUAGUUUGUUUAUUUUGAUUAAAAUUGUUGUUUUAUUAUUAUUUAGUUUUAUUUUUUUUGUUAAAUUAUUAAGUUUAAAAUCAAAAAAAAAAAAAAAAAGAUCCUGCGGCAUGCAAGCUGCGUUUUGCCGCAGCUUGCAAAAGGAGCAUUGGGGCAGCCCUUAUCUACAAAAAAAAUAUAUAUAUAUAUAGAAGAGUGCUAAGGGUUUAGGAGGGGGUUCCUGGUAAAUAGAAAAGAGGGAGAGAGCCGCAAGGGAGGUUUUUGGACAGCCGUAACUUUGGCAAAAAACAAAAGAGAGAAAGCUAUGAGGAGAGGAAGGACGGCUGGGUGGAGAGAGAGGUUUGAGAAGGAAAAAGAACGCAGCUUUUGUGGCGGCCGGAAAGGAGAUAAAGUGAGAGAUUGAGGGAGAUAGCCGAAAAAAAAAACCGAGAGAGAGCUGGGGAAGUGACGGAAAAGCAAAAAACCAGCAAAGAAAAAAGAACAAGGAAGAGAGCGGCUAAGGUGAGGUCGAGGGAGAAAAAGGGGAGAGGUUUUUCUGAGAGAGAAGAGGAGAAUCUGGGCAACAAGUGAACCAAGGAAGCAGCUAGCCACCAAGGCAACAAGGGAAUCAGCUCCGGCAACCUGAGGAGUGAAGAAACCCCAUCGUCCAAGGACGGCGUGCGCCGAGAGAAAUCAGGAAGUACAGAAGAGAGCCUGCGGAGACGUACUUGGUUGGACUUUUGGGGACGCAAAUCUGAUGCCAUUCACGUUAAGGGGUCACGAUUAUGCCCAAGUGUGACAGCCCCACCUUUCCCUAAGGCGAACCAAAGGGGUUAGCGGACUGCCUGCCCAGCUCUCGCCAGGACUAACGGUACGGUUUACGUCAAUCUAAAACGUUCCGGAACAUAACAUCGCGCGCAAACAAGUCAAAACACAAAAUAAAAUAAAACGAAAACCGAAGCCGAAAUUUAUCUAAACCAUAGCCAAGCAUAUAUGUACAAUGGAAAUCAACAUUUACAACCAUAAUGGCAUGCCAAAACUAUUCAUUAAGGAGUACACAUUCGAUUUGCCUAUCAAAAGGAAAUGAACCCGUUAUACAUUAGGGUUUCACUUCAAGAGCUAUACAAAAGACAUUUACAAGCUCAGUAUGGCAAUUGACUAUCCAGUCCAUUUUCAAAAGCAAUUAUAUCCCUGUAAGGAAAACAAAUAACACGGAAUGAGCCAAAGCCCAGUGGUAUACCACCCAAUAAGCAAUCAAAGUCAUAUAAGAAUGAACCUUCAUUUAAAGUGCACAAAUAAGCAAUGAAGCAAAACGGUAAAAGGAUACGGUCGGCUCUCAAGAGCCCAUUUCCACGCUUGCAAUCUUGAACCAACCUCAUUGACUCUCCGUCAAUGUUAAAAUACCAAACCGUAGACAACUCUUUACUUCCAUUCCUUCCACCCAACAUACCCCAACCGGGCCCGCACUCCAUUCAGUAAUAUUUUUGGUAAUACUCGAGUUUACCGGAACCAAGGGUCUCAUUACCACAAGGUUCCCCAGUACAGUCCCCGUGGCGAUUCAAUCUUCACGACCAAGCCCUCGCCGGCUCGAUCCAAUUGACUACCAAACGGGGUUGAGCUCAGUAAUGCAGUAAGGCCGUUGGACAUCGUCCAAACGACAUCAAUUCAGUUUCCAUGAAAUGGAAUUCACCAACCAAUAUAUCAAGUUCAGUAAUGCAAUAAAACGGUAGCCAUUCAGUGACAAUAUCAAAAGAGGUGAGGGCGGUCAAGUACACCCUCACCUUAAUCAAUUUCAAUAUUCGAAUAAGCCAUCAAGGCAUCACAUAACAUUUAACAAAGCCACAUAGUAACAAUUUAGUGAGUGGUAUACUCACCAAGCAAGUAAGUGGUAUUUCAUGUACCACGAUCACCAAGCCGUCGUGCACUACCUUCAAGCCCUAGAACAUAUAACACAUACAAUGAGACUCGAUAACGAGUCAUAUAGCAAUGCUAAACACAACCCCAAUAGGGUUUCAUAUGCAUAAAUGAGCAUAAUAGCAAACCAGAAUUUAGAAAAUGGCCUUAGUCUUGGCCCCAAAUAGAAAACUGUUUUACACUCAUUAUGCGGUAAUGGCGUCAAAUUCUCUACGGUUAUCGGAUGGGGGUGUAAGACCCACCGUUUCGAAGCUAUGAAACAGGGCUACAACAAUGUAGAAGGUCACUCAAUCCAGUUCCUAGCUUAACUAGGUCGAAAAUGCCAAAUACUAACCCAGAAUUCCUAAAACAGGUUUGCAAAACACAGAAAACUGUAAUCGGUACAUCUCAGUUCAUACAAGUCCAAAUGCCGAAAUUCCAAAGGCAUAUGAUAGCUAAGACAUUCAGCUACAAUUCAUCAGAAGACACCAACUCCAAAAUCCAAACCAAUUCCAGUCAAAAUAGCCAAUUACUAUCGCAGUUUUCGCAUUCUGUCCAAAGCAGAACAGCUACAGUAAUUUCGUCAUAACUCACUCUACACUAAUCCAAAUGCCUUGAAAUUUUACAGGCACCUUAUACACAUCAAUACCUACAACUUUCAUGUUUUGAGCAAAGUCCAACUCGGCCUCUAACCCAGUGAUCUAAAACCGGACAGAAUUGGGGUUCAAGAACCCUAACUUUUCAAAUUUCACACCAAAUCCAAAAUUGAUUGCAUUUAACCACAAUUCACACUCACUAGAGUCAUUUCCAACCAUUACAAUUCAUCAUACAAGCCCCCAACAUCAAGAUCAUAUUAAACCAGAAAAAAUCCCAAUAAAAUAAAAAUUUCACCAAAACUCUUCAAAUCAAGAAAUAAAUCACAUUUUCACACACUCAUGCCACUUCUAAGCAUCAUAUAACCAUCAUUAAAGGUAGUAGGGUGUUUCAAGCUUCACUUACCAAGAAACAAAGAGAGAAGAUGUGGAGCACCUUAGUCCUUCAAACAAAGUUCACAAACAACUUGCUAGCACUAGAAGGAAAGUUUUUAUGGAGUGAAAUCUUGUUUAUGGCCUUGCUUGAGAUGAUUUGCUAGUAGAAACUUGAAGAUUGAAGAAGUUCUCCUUCUUGCAAGAGUGAGAGAGAGAGCCGGCCAAAGGGGAAGAAAAAUGAGGAAAUUUGGUGAAUUUUGAGAUAUUUAACCUUUGGGUCAAAAGGUCAAAAAAAUGUCAAAAGGUGAAUAGUGAUUCUUAAAAGGUAUCCAAUAAGAAAGUGACAUGUGUCACUCUAUUAAAUGCAAUCUUAUCAUUCUUUUCUCUCUCACAUCAAUCACUUCAUAUACUCUACUUAUCUCUUAACACCCGAUAAAUUAUACACAGUAUCCAAAACUUAACCUUAUUGGCCGAAUUUUCCCGAACUUUUCGCACUAGUGGGUCCCACGUCCACUAUUUACUCUUAAUUUUCUAAAAUUUCACCAAUGCUAGAAAAAUCAUCUUAAAACUAUAAUUGCUCAUAACAUCCUCUCAGAAAAUAUUUCUAAGCCAGAAAAUGCAAAAACAUGCAAUUUAUGGGGAAAUAAUCCCUAGGAAAAUAUUAGGGUUUUUACGGGUUCUCACACCAAGGAUAUCAGUUUGCUUACCUUCCUGCAAAUUUUCAUUGCGAUUCCAACUAUAUAAAGCGCUGAGGUAACUCCAGCCUUAUUUUUGCUCAUUCCAGUUUUGUUGCUCACUUCUCCGUUUCUUUGUUGUUUCAUGUUCACCAUGAACUUGAUUAUUUGUUUCGUAAGUUAAAAGGCCAGGUCUUGUGAUUCUUACGUGGGUUUUUUAUGUGUAUUCUGAACAUGCGGAUUUGAAGGCUUAUGAAUCCAAAAGAUGUUAACUUUGCGUGUUUUUCUUUCCUCCGUAAGCGGAAUGCCUAUGAUCCGUGAGUUGCAAGUCCGUUCUUAGUAUUUUGUUUGUCUUUACGAUUUGGUUUUAGGAGGAGCAAUUUGGGGUUUUGCCUAUGGGGGGGGUAUACAAUGAAUCUGUUUGGUUGGAUGGUGAAGCCGCAGGAAUUUUCUAGCUUUGUUUGUUUUUAUUUUGAUUUUUCUUGGUGCUUAAAUCCAAAGGCUUUAUGUUGAAGAGUGAGAAAGUAUUUGGAAAACAUGUUGUUUAGUUUCAAGAUGUGUUUGUUUGGGAUUUGUGCACGAAAAUCUGGCUGCAACAAGCUAAGCGUUGCACAUAAAAUCUGUUGCAACAAGUUGGGAAGUUCUUGGCUUGUUGCAGUAGCGUAGCAAAGUUAUGUUUUCCUUUUGCUAGUUUCAAUUUUGAAGCUUAUAAUUUCCUUGGUUUUCGGCUAGUACGUCAUGAGUAUGUUUGCCGCGAGUUGAUGUUUCUUUCUGCUGUGAUUUUUCAUUUCGUUUGUAUUGUAGAGUUUCUGGUUUUUGUAGUGCCUUCUUGAUGCAUGUCAUUUCCUGCACUUCCUGUUGCAUUUCUUCCUUAUCCGCUGGUGUGAGCCAAUUCAAAUGCUCUGCUACAAUUCUGCAAUAAGAGUUCAUGUCUCUACUAGUUGGUAGUUGAUAGGCAAAGUUUUAGUUUUUGGUGAACUUAUUUGCAUGGAUAGAGAGUUGCGGCUAGAAAUUACAGCAACCUUAGAAACGAAAAAUGCAGCGAGCUUGCACUUUCCGUUUGCAGAAAUCUUCUUGAGUUUGCAUGAAAGAUUGCUGGAAUUUACCUUAUCUCAUCAUAAUUUGUUGGCUUGUUGAAUUCUGUGUUAGUUUUUAGUUUAAUGCCGAUGGCUUUGAUUGAUUGAUGAGAUGUUAGUUGCAUAUUAGGAUUGUAUUUGAGAAGUUUAGCAUGUUGCAGAUGAAAGGAACCAGCAAAACAAAGAGAUUUACGUAGCAUGCAUGAAAUAUAUUCUAAAAUUUGCACUUUAACCCCUCAAGUUUCCUUUUGUUCCCCUAUGACCCACAAAUUUGAGAAAGCUAAUCAAUUGGGUCCCUGUGAUUUUUGCAGCAGUGCAUUAUGGCCCAAUUACAUUCCAUGUUCUUGUAAUUAGGUCCUAAGAUAUUUGCAUUUGAACCAUUCCUCCACCUUUUCUUUGCCUUUGGACCUUUGAAGUUCCUAAAAGUGUUUGAUUAAGCUUGAAUGCUUGGCUAGUGUUCACAUUUGAGUCCUUGGUAGCCUCAACUUUGCAAUUCGAUUGCUCGUUUGCUCUCAUUUGUUUAGGUGGUACUUAAUUGCAUGAAUUUGUGAACUUUGUGUCUAAAUGAGCUUGUGUUUGCCUAUUUUCUUUAAUUUUCCCAAAUAAAUUGGUACCUUGACCAUUUCUUUUAUUUUGGAGGAUGAAUAAGUGAUUUCACUCCAUUUAAGGCAUCAACUCAAGGGAGGUAUAACUUUUUUUAUCUUUUUUGUCUCUUCUAUGUGAACCAACGUGCUACGUGAGAAAUACAUGUCUACUUUGCUUUCCUAGCUUUUCUUUAAUUCCUUUUCCUUAUGUCAUUUACUUUUUGUUUUCAUUAAGUUAUUCUUUAAUGGGGUAUGUGUACACCUCUUGGCUUGUAAUAGAUAAGGCUGUGGCGAGCAAUUUGGUCCAUUUUCCCCUUCCCCUUUUGUUUUAGUUAGUGAAUGUAAUAGGUUCAUUAGCUUGGUUGCAUGCCUACGUGUUAAGUGUUACUCGUUUUAUUAGGCUCAUUGCAUCUAGUCGAGCAUGCUAAAUGUUAUGUGCUACGUGUUUAUGAGUAUUUGAUAUGUCUACUUGCUUUCCAUAGUGUGGAUGAAUGGAAUGGAUGAAUGUACGUCACCACACUAGUCCAACGCUAGUUGUGGCUUCUUUUAUCGUUUCCACUAGUCCUAUUUUUUACAAGUGAGAUAAACCACUAGUCUAUCGUUUACAAGCCAUUUUGAUAGAAAUAAAUGGCUUGUAAAAAUCAAAAAAUCAGAAAAAGAAAGAAGAAAAAAUCAGAAAAAAAAGAAAACAAAAACAAAAACAAAAAAAGAAAAAAAAAAAAAAAGAAAAAAAAUCAGAAAAAAAUCAAAAUCAAAUCAAAUUCAAAUUCCUAUUUCUUGAAAAUCCAUUUUUCAUUUCUUAUUGGCAAAGCUUAGCGUUCGCCGCGCACCCUUAUACCUCUUUUCUUGACAACCACAUUUUAAUUUACUGACUUCAACCGCCGUUAGCAUCGAGUUUAUCUCACUAACGUGCGUGUUUCAUUUCAACCGCCGUUAGCAUCGAGUCUAUCUCACUAACGUGCGUGUUUCAUUUCAACCGCCGUUAGCAUCGAGUCUAUCUCACUAACGUGCGUGUUUCAUUUCAACCGCCGUUAGCAUCAAGUUUAUCUCACUAACGUGCGUGUUUCAUUUCUACCGCCGUUAGCAUCGAGUUUAUCUCACUAACGUGCGUGUUUCAUUUCUACCGCCGUUAGCAUCGAGUUUAUCUCACUAACGUGCGUGUUUUCAUUUCUACCGCCGUUAGCAUCGAGUUUAUCUCACUAACGUGCGUGUUUCAUUUCUACCGCCGUUAGCAUCGAGUCUAUCUCACUAACGUGCGUGUUUCAUUUCAACCGCCGUUAGCAUCGAGUUUAUCUCACUAACGUGCGUGUUUCAUUUCUACCGCCGUUAGCAUCGAGUUUAUCUCACUAUCGAGUUUAUCUCACUAACGUGCGUGUUUCAUUUCAACCGCCGUUAGCAUCGAGUUUAUCUCACUAACGUGCGUGUUUCAUUUCAACCGCCGUUAGCAUCGAGUUUAUCUCACUAACGUGCGUGUUUCAUUUCAACCGCCGUUAGCAUCGAGUUUAUCUCACUAACGUGCGUGUUUCAUUUCAACCGCCGUUAGCAUCGAGUUUAUCUCACUAACGUGCGUGUUUUCAUUUCAACCGCCGUUAGCAUCGAGUUUAUCUCACUAACGUGCGUGUUUCAUUUCUACCGCCGUUAGCAUCGAGUUUAUCUCACUAACGUGCGUGUUUCAUUUCUACCGCCGUUAGCAUCGAGUUUAUCUCACUAACGUGCGUGUUUUCAUUUCAACCGCCGUUAGCAUCGAGUUUAUCUCACUAAUGUGUGUGUUUUCAUCCCACCAACACUCCAUCUCACUUCAAUUCAUCUAAUUUUAAAUUUCUGUCCGGGUCUAUCCCGUGGGUCUAUCCCAUUUAAAUUUUUGUCUGGGUCUAUCCCAUUUAAAUUUCUGUUCGGGUCUAUCCCGUGGGUCUAUCCCAUUUAAAUGGACUCGACGCUGGGGCAAAUUAUUUUUGAAAAAUUCUCUCAAAAAAAAAAACAAAAAAAAAAAAACAAAAAAAAAAAAUCAGGUUCAAAUUCUUGUUUCUUGAAAAAUCAAAUUUGAUUUCUUAUGGGCGAAGCUUCAAUGCACGCCGCGCAUCAUUCUGUUCCCCCCUUCUCUUAACAUCUCAAAAAUCUCGUUGGGCCUGGAUUUCGUGCCGCCAACUUCACAAAAAUCCUAUUGGGCCUGGACUCGGUGCCGCCAACAUCUCAAAAAUUUCAUUGGGCAGGCUCGGGUUAAUCCCACUGACCAAUUCAUAACUGGGGCAAAUUAUUUCCACAAGUCUCUCUCAAUCAAAAAAUCAAAAAAUCAGAAAAAGAAAGAAGAAAAAAUCAGAAAAAGAAAGAAAAAAAAAGAAAACAAAAACAAAAACAAAAAAGAAAAAAAAGAAAAAAAAUCAGAAAAAAAUCAAAAUCAAAUCAAAUUCAAAUUCCUAUUUCUUGAAAAUCCAUUUUUCAUUUCUUAUUGGCAAAGCUUAGCGUCCGCCGCGCACCCUUAUACCUCUUUUCUUGACAACCACAUUUUAAUUUACUGACUUCAACCGCCGUUAGCAUCGAGUUUAUCUCACUAACGUGCGUGUUUCAUUUCAACCGCCGUUAGCAUCGAGUCUAUCUCACUAACGUGCGUGUUUCAUUUCAACCGCCGUUAGCAUCGAGUUUAUCUCACUAACGUGCGUGUUUUCAUUUCAACCGCCGUUAGCAUCGAGUUUAUCUCACUAACGUGCGUGUUUCAUUUCAACCGCCGUUAGCAUCGAGUUUAUCUCACUAACGUGCGUGUUUUCAUUUCAACCGCCGUUAGCAUCGAGUUUAUCUCACUAACAUGCGUGUUUCAUUUCUACCGCCGUUAGCAUCGAGUUUAUCUCACUAACGUGCGUGUUUCAUUUCUACCGCCGUUAGCAUCGAGUUUAUCUCACUAACGUGCGUGUUUUCAUUUCUACCGCCGUUAGCAUCGAGUUUAUCUCACUAACGUGCGUGUUUCAUUUCUACCGCCGUUAGCAUCGAGUCUAUCUCACUAACGUGCGUGUUUCAUUUCAACCGCCGUUAGCAUCGAGUUUAUCUCACUAACGUGCGUGUUUUCAUUUCAACCGCCGUUAGCAUCGAGUUUAUCUCACUAACGUGCGUGUUUUCAUUUCAACCGCCGUUAGCAUCGAGUUUAUCUCACUAACGUGCGUGUUUCAUUUCUACCGCCGUUAGCAUCGAGUUUAUCUCACUAACGUGCGUGUUUUCAUUUCUACCGCCGUUAGCAUCGAGUUUAUCUCACUAACGUGCGUGUUUCAUUUCAACCGCCGUUAGCAUCGAGUUUAUCUCACUAACGUUCGUGUUUCAUUUCAACCGCCGUUAGCAUCGAGUUUAUCUCACUAACGUGCGUGUUUUCAUUUCAACCGCCGUUAGCAUCGAGUUUAUCUCACUAACGUGCGUGUUUUCAUUUCAACCGCCGUUAGCAUCGAGUUUAUCUCACUAAUGUGCGUGUUUUCAUCCCACCAACACUCCAUCUCACUUCAAUUCAUCUAAUUUUAAAUUUCUGUCCGGGUCUAUCCCGUGGGUCUAUCCCAUUUAAAUUUUUGUCUGGGUCUAUCCCAUUUAAAUUUCUGUUCGGGUCUAUCCGUGGGUCUAUCCCAUUUAAAUUUCUGUCCGGGUCUAUCCCAUUUAAAUUUUUGUCUGGGUCUAUCCCAUUUAAAUUUCUGUUCGGGUCUAUCCCGUGGGUCUAUCCCAUUUACGUUUCUGACCGGGUCUAUCCCGUGGGUCUAUCUCAUUUAAAUUUCUGUCCGGGUCUAUCCCGUGGGUCUAUCCCAUUUAAAAAUCUGUCCGGGUCUAUCCCGUUUAAAUUUCCUGUCUCGGGUCAGUCCCGAUUUUAAAAUUUUCUCAUUUGGGUCAAUCCCAUUUAAAAAAAAAAAAAAAAAAAAUUUUCAGUCCUCGUUUCAAAAGCGUCCGUCGUCCGGAUCGUUCGCAGCCGAAUAACACAGGUAAGUAUUUGGUGUCUACUUCUUUGUCUCAAGUUUUUUCAAAACUCAGACAAAGAGGGGCAAACUGUAGACACCAAAUUUUUGAUUUUUUAAAUUAAUUUCAUCUUAGCUUUAUUUGUUUCAAUUUUAGGUUUUUCAUUUCUUAUUAUUAUUAUUUAUUAUUAUUAUUAUUUUAUUAUUAUUAUUAUUAUUAUUAUUUUAUUUUUAUUUAUUAUUGUUAUUUAUUUUAUUUUUGUUCUAGUGUAUUUUUGGCUUCACAUUAAUUUCCAGGAAAAACAAAAGAAAAAGAGAAAAGGAAAAAGAAAGAAAAAGUGAAAAUGACAAGUGUGACUGCAUGCACUUGGACAAGUGUCUUUUCUAUGUUUUAGACAACUAAGCACCUAAGGGGUGAGGUGUUAGGGACAUUUGAGAAGUUAAGGAAUUUUUGGGGGUCAAAGUAGAAUUUUGUGAGGGCUAAAAACUAAAAAAAAAGAGAAAGCAAAACCAAAAAAAAACAGAAAAGGAGGAGGUCGGCCAAAAAAACAAGGCUGGGGCUGAGAGCAAAAAGGGGAGGAAAAAACAGAGAAAAAAAAAAGAAGAAGGCGGCGGAUGGAAAAACGGAAGGCUUCGGCUUCAGUGGCGGCGGAGCUUGAGAAACGCAGAAGAAAGGAGAGUGGCGAACAAGAAAAAAAACAGAACAACAAAGAAAGAGGGGCAAAAAAAAAGGAAAAGAAACUGAGAGUAAAGGGAGAGAGGGAGGCAUCGACAAAAACAGAGAGAGAAGAACUUCAGCGGGAGUCUGGGGAAGAAAAAGGGAUGAGAGUGACGGUUGAAAAGGGCCGCGAGAGAGAAAAACAAAGAAAACAGAGGGAGGAGGUCGCGGAUGAAAAAGGGCUUCGGCCUUGAGAGAAAACAGAGGAAGGCUGAAGAAAGGCUACGGGGGAGUGAAAGAAAAACAAAGGGAGCGGCGGAUGGGCUGAACACGAACAGGAAAAAACAGGCAACCAUCGGAGAGGCUUGAGAAAGGAGGGCAAAAACAGAGCAACAAAAAGGGUCGGAAAAAAACUGGAAAUUGGGGAAGGGGGCUUCAGCGAACAAGAAAAAGAAAACAAUAAGAAAGAAAGGGAAACAAGCUGCGGAGAGGGUUGAGCUGAGAGUAAAGCCUGCAGCCAAAGAAGAAACGGAGCAACAGGAAAAGGAAAAAACCGGAGAAAAAGGAAGGCUAGCGGAAGAACAGAGCAAGGUAGGAGCAAAAUGAGAAAAAGCAAAGCAAUGGGCUUCGGGCGGCUUCGGGCUGAAACGGAU